UUUUUUUUUCAGUCGAACAGAAAACAGCAAGUACGAGGGAAACAAGGUUGGUUCCAAAAAUUACGGCACCAUCUGACGAUUAUCUACACGUCCGAUUUGAGCCGCUAAUCACGGCAAGGCCGGCGGACUGCAAAUCGUGGGUUCAUGCACAUGCUAUAUUACUUGCAUGCAACACAAAAACUAGUAAUGAGUCCACGCUCAUGAGUAACAGCCGCGCCGCCCGCGCACGUCGCCCACCUCGAGCGGCGCCCGCGGUGUUUUCCACCUCGCCAGAGCACUCCUGCACGUCGCCUACCUCGCCGCUGCUCCCACGCACCUCGUUACUGAUGGUGGUUGUCCGGUCCGCUCGGGCUGGCCCGAGCUUUGCCUCUACCGGUCCGGUCCCAAGAAACAGGACGGCAAGACUGGUCGUUCCGGUCUGGUCCGGACCGCCGCCGGCCGGUCCAAACGGUGGCUCGGUCUGGGACCGAACCGGACGGUGUCCAUCCUGAAGGAUGAACAAGGAUUAAAUCUAACGGCAAAGAAUAAUGUAGCCGUUGUUCCUCCAUGGUUUUGCCACACUAUCUUUGUAAUAUCCAGCGUCAUGUGUUUGUGAGUGUCGAUAUCUUUCAUAUUCAGUAUCUUCCCUGUGUUCCCUAUCCUUCUUUGCCCAUUGUUUUUUACUUCACAUUUGUCGUGCAGUAUUUAAGGACAAUAAUGGGAAAAUAAAUAAAAAGUGAAGGCGUAUGGGAACAAAAAUGCUAAACGUACGGAUUGUUUUUACAGGAGGNNNNNNNNNNNNNNNNNNNNNNNNNNNNNNNNNNNNNNNNNNNNNNNNNNNNNNNNNNNNNNNNNNNNNNNNNNNNNNNNNNNNNNNNNNNNNNNNNNNNNNNNNNNNNNNNNNNNNNNNNNNNNNNNNNNNNNNNNNNNNNNNNNNNNNNNNNNNNNNNNNNNNNNNNNNNNNNNNNNNNNNNNNNNNNNNNNNNNNNNNNNNNNNNNNNNNNNNNNNNNNNNNNNNNNNNNNNNNNNNNNNNNNNNNNNNNNNNNNNNNNNNNNNNNNNNNNNNNNNNNNNNNNNNNNNNNNNNNNNNNNNNNNNNNNNNNNNNNNNNNNNNNNNNNNNNNNNNNNNNNNNNNNNNNNNNNNNNNNNNNNNCCCGGCCGCACGCCGCCGCCGCUCUCCGAUGGCGCCGAAGAAGACGCCGAAGGGCAAGUCGGGCUUCUUUGGCGUGAGGCAGAAGCCCUUCGGUAACUGGGGUGUGGGGUUCUCCGACACCGGAAGGCGUUGGUGGAUCGACACGUACCCCUCCGCCCACGAGGCCGCGUGUGCCUACGACGUGGCGGUGUGGCGUGCCGAGAGGCCUCGGUCGCACCUCAACUUUCCAAAGAUCGAGAGUCGGGCGGAAGCGGAGAUGCUUGUGCCGCAGGGCAUCAACAUGAAGAAGAUCAUGACGAAGAAGAAGAAGACGAAGAAGCCGUCGGUUGUCGUCAGUGCUGGCGAGACCGACGAGGAGGCGAUGGCGAGGUUUGCUCGGGAGCAUCCGGAGUACGUCCAGGCCGAGCUGGAGUACUACUAGAAGCGUGAGGCGGAGCAGAAGAAGAAGGGGCCGAAGAAGGAGGACGAGGCCGGUCCCUCGAUGGUGAUCCCCAUCGAGUCCUCUUCCGAGGAUGACUGGGCAGACUUCUCGGACGACGAGGAGGAGGAGGGGUGCGACGACCCGACGAAGGAGGAGUUCUGGGCGCAGUUCCGCAACUCCGACGAUGAGGAGUAGUUUAUCUAGUAGUUUGAAUAAGUAGUAGUUGAAGUUCAUGUAUGAAAUUAUGUUGAAUUUGAUGUUUAAACUACGUUGAAUGGACUAGUAGUAUGUCGUUUGCAUCUUCAUUUUUGACCAUCUAUUGGAGUUGCUUUUUUGGACCAUCAAUUUGGAUUAUCUGUUGGAGUUAAGCUUUUUUCGAAGCUUCAAAACGCAUUUUUUGAUGGUCCAAAUUUUACAUCUCUGAUUUUGGACCGCCAAAAUUUAGACCAUCUAUUGGAGAUGCUCUUAUCCUUUUAAGGUAGCGAGAUGGCAAUGGAUAUUUGAAGCUAAGGAAUCUGAAUUCCUUGCCACCUGAACCACAUGGAGCUGUACCUAUCUUCUUUCAUUACUAGAUUAUUAUAGCUUCUGUUUCUUUUCCCACAUGAUUAGAUGUUCGCUAAUGCACCCAUAAGCCAAGGGAGAUCAAACCAUGGUGCAUCUCCCUGAAUACACUUGCAUUCAUCCAGGACGCGGAUUUUGUCUAACUAGUUGCGCGCAUAACUCGUAUCCUUGCCGUCCAUCUCCGGUGCAGUCAAAUCAACCUGCCCCACUGCUGUCCCAGCCAUGCAGCGUAUUCCCGAGCAUGUGAUUGUUUUGGUGUACGUAUAUGGAGAUGUAUUGCAUCGGUUGUGGGCCAGCUGUCUAUAGAUUCUCCUGCCAACUAGUACUGCUAGGCUACUUUCUUUAGUCUCUUCCCGUGCGCAGCGACGUGCUAUACCCGUGCUCGUUUAUCCACAAUACACGUUACGUUUGAGGUUAGAGGAUGCCGGAUAAUUAAUGACCCGUAGCUGUUUAACACAGAUGUUAAUUACGUCGCGGUACAAGCCAAGCCAUUUUCCGUAUAUUCGCCAUAAAGUUCUGUUGAGAAACACAGUAAAGUUCAGCGGGGCAGAGCGCACAGUACCCCUCCCUCCCCCCACACCUCCGCAGCUUUCCUCCCCUUUAUCCAUCUCCUCCGCCACUCAGCUCCUCCACCGCCGUGGCGCCGAUUCAGAGACACUGCCGACGGCGGUGUGGCAGAUCGAACUGGGGCAAGUCGAUCCGGCAAAGCAUAUAGGUAACAAAUCAACAGAACUCGUCAAACCCGUACCAGAUCGGAAAUAUCCAUCUCGAUACUGAACUAUAUUCAUCUCAUAUUCCCCAAUUCUUUGCUGAGCUAUGCUAAAAAAACGGGGGCGGAGGACGCGGCCACCUGGUUGGCGUCAACGGCGAGCGUCCGACAGGCCGUCAGUCUCAUUCAGUUUUCUGUCGCCCCGCCCUAGAUGAAGGUCAGGGGAAUUACUUAUACACCACCACUUACUGCUCUUUUUGUGAUUGAUUAUUUUACUUCAGUUUCAUGGAAACCACUUUCUGAUUGUCAUUAUAGUUCGUAUACGAGCCACUUAAGAUGAUGUACUUCCCAUAUGUGAUUCUAGUACAAAUGUUCAGCAGCGCUGCCUCGAAUUUUUUUAACUUGAUAUACUAAUUUGUUUAAGCGAAAACACUUUCAAAAAUUGGGGAGUAUACGCACACUACCCGUGGAAACCGUUUUUGGGUCCGCAGGAGAAGAAUCGUGUAAUAGAUGGGUUGGAAAGUCAUUGUAAUAUGUUGUUAUCGUCAGUCUAAAAUGCAGAGUUCUGGAUAAAAUCCACAACGAUGUGAAUUUGGGCAUAGUUUUUUCAAACACCUAUAGGCCAUAACGGAUUGCACCAAAUGGUUAAAGCUUUAAUUUACUAAAUCUUACAGUCCGCUAAAUUCAGUUUUCUUGACUGCCCAAAAGCAUAAAGCUUGCAGAUUAGGACGUCCCAUACAUAUAAAAGUUCAAACUGCAGCUUCGAUUCUCGACCAAACAAGCGCAGAUAGUUUGCUAGAGCAAUAAUCAUCACGCAUCCUCCUUGUUCCUAACAAGGCACUUCUUGUAUCUCUCAGGCAAGUGUCCAAUGUUCCCCUCCAGUCCAAGCACAUCUACCAGUAUGUUCAUCCUGGAAUGGAGCACCCCGUCGUGUUGCUGUAUAGGAACAAAUCAUGAACUAUCAGUUCAUAAUCACAGUGUUUCAGCAAUAUAAAAAUAAAACAAUUGUCACAGCUUCGUCCGAACCGGGUUCAGGUCCCUCUUGAAUUUGCUUCCCAUCCAAUUCCGUCCAUAGUGCCGUGCAUAUACCCCGCUGUCUGGCCUGCGAAAGGUCGGAUAAAAUGUAAACACAUGUGCUUAAGACCCCCCCUCACAACAUCAUUGCGAUUAGUUUUGAGUUGUCGACAUUACCCGCUGCAUAGACCAACGUUUAUCCCUUUCGGGAACACUGUAUUCCAUCUCGUCAUGUCAGGAGCCCAACCUUGAAAAAAUGCUUGAAUGCACCUUUGCAAUGCUUCAUGAAGAUUGUCUGCAACCUUUCUGUGCCUACUCUGGAUGACUUUGUCAGACUCGUCUCCGUUGUUAAUUGUUGGGUCAAGAACGAUUAUCCUCCUCUUUACAAAAUCCCAAAUGUAGGUCGACCAUGUGAAGUUGAACUUGACGUUGAGUAAGAACUAGAGAAUAAAUCAAACAUGUAUGUGCAUCAAAAUACCCGUCCUAUAUAUAGAAAAAUCUAGGCAUGAUAUCUAGGCAUGAAAAAUCUAGACAGAAUUACCUCAGUGCAUCUGUGCACGUCAUACUUGAUAUGUUCCCCAAUAAACAUGUCCUGCACAUACCUCACAAUCACGUCUCCUCUGCUCACAUGGUUCUGUCAAAUCAAACAACGAAUCAUUAGGCAGAGCUGCUUGAUCAUAUCAAAAAUACAUAUUACUUAAGCAUAAAAUGCGGUCCUCACCACAAAGUCUGGCUCGAGCCAAUGUCGCCAGCACCCUUCAUCUUUAUCCAAUGCAAAAGUGUAGUCAAUCUGCUGAUAUCUUCUAACUGCUAUUGUCAUCAAAUCAUUAUCUAUCACACCCCCUUCCGAAAGGUUCGUCCUGAUUCGCUCGGCAGAGAGCUCGAUGUAUUUUGGCUGAGUGCUUAUAACCCAAUUGCUGCAAAUGUAAAAACACACGAUAAUGUGAGAAUCGCUUGUGACAAGCACCCCAGAAAAAGAUUGAAAUCUAUGGAAAUAUUGUUGGAUGCCGCAUAAAUAGUACAUACUCUUUCCUUGCAGAUGCGGGCUCCUUCAUAAACAUCUUGAAGACCUUUUCAACAUUAGCUGGUGCUCUUAGGGGAGGAUCGUACCCCAGAACAAAAGGGGACCGUGCAGCCUUGCCUGGCUUAACUGUUCUUUUUCGUUGUGGCUGUGUACUGAGGCCAUCUUGUGUCUGUGGAACGUUCAGGUUGAUUGCUGCCUCCUCCAUCUCCUCACGUACGUCCAACUCUUGUGCCGCGAUCUCCCUGUUCAGGCUAACAAGUGUUGUUCUCGCCGCCUUAUUCGGCUCUAUCGCCCUGUGCAUAGGAGUGCAUAUUAUGUCAAGCCCUGAGCCUGCAAUGCACAUUUUCCCAACAUCAGCAUGAUCCAAAUACAGCAUCACACAGUGUGUUAGUGUUAUUCAUUACAUGUUCUAUCACCUUGGAGUUCAUUUUUCCCAUAUGUUGAUACAGGUGUUGUGUUAGCUGAUGGCACGGAGCUCGUACCUGCAACUAUUGACAAAGCAUGUUAGGUACAGGAAUAUUGAAAGAUGACUGGCGAAGUAUGGUACAUCCCAUGGGACAAAAUCAAUUUACCUUCUGGUGUCACCGCUCUACUGAAAUCAUCCAUCAGGUCUUUGCUCCUAAAACCUGUGAAAUCUAUUUUGAAUCUGCUUGGACCGGCCUGGGCAGUGUGAUGCUGAAUGUGGAACGGUUGUUGAGUUUUAGCCACAACUGACAAUUCCCUUCCCGGUGAUAGGACUGGCCCAGCAUUGUCUAUUCCGAGGUCAUAUGAGGGAACCUCUGUGUUAAGCGCUGCAUUAGGGCCAUAUACCCAUUGCCUACCAUCUGCUGCUUUGGCCUGGAUUGGCAUUUGUUCAUGCACCACAGUGUCAUUUGUUACUUCAUUGUCUUGGUCUGCUGCCGCGACCAGUCCUUCCAGAUUCUUAAUCGCCGGGUCAGGAUCCUCCUCUGUCUCUUCGACCCUUGCUCUUUUCGGGGAACCACCCCGUUGACUGUCAUUUGACCUAUGGAUAGGAUUACCAUCAUCUACAUUCCGUUUAUCUGUAUUCACAGGACAAAUGGCCGAACGUGGUGAAAAUGGCGACUCUUCUCCGGACUCUUCAGGUGAGACAUCAUCACCUGUAUCGUCAAUACAAAGGUAUCAAUUACAAGCACAACAUAUGAUUCAUCAAGUCCUGGUCCAUUUAAUUUUGGUCAUAUUCAUAGCAUAACUCGUUUACCUUGGUAGUCUUGUUCCCUUGGCCUUUUGUUGUUCUGCCUUACAGUUUCUGAUAUUUCAUCAAUAUCUGCGAGCAUCUUAGAGGUCUCUUCUUCAAUGAAAAUGUCAGUCUCCCUCACAACACCAUCCCACCCAUCCGCGUGCUUUUUGUUUAUCUUGGCCCCUUUCUUAGACGCCGCUUGCAACGCUGCUCGGCAUCUAGAUGAAUAUUGGCCCACUUUUUCCACAAGUAUAGUAACAAUCUGAUAUUACACAAAACGGAAAUCAGCACUGAAUGUACAUCAUGCAGCAUUCUGAACACACUAGCACGUAGGUCAAUAUGUAUAUUGCGAUAACUUUAGUACCUCCUCGAUCAUCGGUGCUCUUUGAUAUCUGCUUGACCCGUCUCCGAUAUCAGCAAUCUUGCCAAUGAAGGACAUUGAAGCUCUGUUCCUGCUAUAGCACACUGUGUGCGCCAGCCUCGGCUGAACAACAAAUAUUCACUGCAAGUUAGUCGCAAACAUAAUGCAAAGAUAACAUCUGAAAAACAACCAAAAUGAGUAGGGUCAACGUUUAGGACUGUACCAGAAGUAGUCCGUAUAUAACAAUAUCUGCGUUCUUUCCUGCGCUUGUGUCCUUUUCAAUAACCAUGUUAAUCUUUUUCUGAUCAUAGACCUUGAAUCUUGGGAAGACGUCGUGUGGUAGGUUCUCGUCCUCAAGAUCAAGAUUGUCCAGAUAGAACACCUAUGGCAUUAUUUAUCUACAAUAUUAGUCAUCACAUAUGCAUCUUCGUAUGCACAAGACUCAAACCAGCUUAGUUUACCCAUACCUGAAUGAAGAAAGUGCAACCAGAGAUGUUUGAUUUAACUUUGCCCCCAAGGAGCUCUGACUUGACCCUCCCAGCUGAUAGAAGCACUUCCUCCCGGACAUACUUACCCCAGUUGUACAUGUGUAUGAGAUCAGGGGUGUGCAGACCUCCCCAGUAUUCUGUCAGGAAGUAGUUGUGCUUCAACGGUGGCGCGAGAACAUAUGUAACUGCACAUACAACAUAGGCAACCUUGAAAGCAUCAGAUUCUGCCUUGGUCAUUGCCCUACAUAUUCCUUCUUCACGAUUUCCUCAAUCACUGAGAUCCUUGUUUCACUGCUGCUUAUCCCUAGUGUUUGCCUAACUGAAGAUAAUACAUGGGGUGCUGGAUUAUUGUUUAUAGUUGCUCCCUCUCCGGGCACACCUAGAACCCUCUCAACGUCUUUGUCAUCAAAUGGAGUGUCCCUUCUACCAUCCACAAUUAUUGCUGAAGCUUUUUCAUCAACCUUGCUGAGAACCCACAUUUGCUGGUGCCUAUUGGUCCUGGUAAUUUUCGGCAGAUGCAUUAGACCACCUAAUUUCAUCUCCUCAACAAGCCUUUUUUUCUCCUCUGACAAAACAUCAUUCAGCUUCUUAAACCUCUUCACGCUGCCCCUGGAGUUUAUCGCACAUGUUCCCCCCUUUUUUUCCCUUUCCGCAACCGUCAGACUCGGAUUCAUCAUCUAUUGGACCCGCUUCAGUAGUUGGGUACGCAUCAAAUGCAUCUAAGUCAUCUUCAUUCGAUUCUUGGUACAUUGAUCCUGACGAGUCUGAUGCCAUGAGCUGUAGCGAAAAUAUAAGCAUGAGAAUUGAUUCAUAACUCUGCAAAAUGAAUGUAAUUGCAUGAUGCCACAGACCCUAAAGUUUAAUGCAGGCCAAAACAUCUGAAUGUAAUAACAAAUGCAUAAUCAUGUUUCAUGAACAACUCAUUUACCCUGGUUUGUAUAUCCUUGAUGGUCAACAAUGGUAAGUGGCGGUUCAAUUCAUAUUCAAAAUGUUGGUUUAAGUUUGAAUUGCAUGAGCACCUUACUCUAUCACACUUUAGAAAUUAUGACCCCAAUGUUAUUCCCCAACAGCUAUGCCUGAAGCAAAUUAGCGCUAGUUGUACGAGCAUGUACUAUGAACUGUUAAAUGGGGCUGGUUUACGUAUCAGGAGUGUAGCCAUCGGGAAUUGAAGAUCCAUGCACAACUAAACGACCCUUAUUGAAAUAACCCGCAGAAACACCCUGGACCACCUUAGUUUGGGUAGCAAAAAGUAACGGAUAAACAUAGAUACAGACUCUGCUGCCCUAACUGAUGCACUAGUAGGUGGGGAAUCAGCUUCCAUAAAUUCAUGCGUUUCAAAAGGAUCCAGCUAGGAUGAACUGCAAAGAACGACUAGCUGGUAGGUGGGAAAUUGAAGUUUGAUGCACAUUUAAACGCCCCUUCAUGAAAUAACUCCCAUAAAACACCUCGGAAUGUCUUAGUUUGGAUGGUAAAAAGUAAUGUAAAAAGGUAGGUUCAGACUCUGAUGCCCUAACUGAAACACUAUUAGGUGGGGAAACAGUAAACAUAGAUUCAUGCAUUUCCAAAUAAUCUAGCUAGUACGAACUGCGAAGAACAGCGAGCUGGUUCCACCCAAACUUGGGGUGUAAACCAAAUCGUUAUAACAAGCUCAGAACAAUUUCUUCUCUCAUGAGCGGGGGCUAACAUGCAUAGCAGGUGGAUCUGCGUUCUUUAUCGAGGGGGAGAACAAGGAGCCUGGGUCAUACCUUUUGCAAAUCUUUAUCCCCAACUUGCUAUAGUUCUUGGACCUGCGCUCGAACAGAGAUGAGUAGCUGCUCUUGCUCUCUGUCCAGGAGGCUGUCGGUGUGGAGGGGAACGAAACAAAGACCUUGGCCCUUGCCCCCAGCACUCACCCACAGCUUUUACCACGUUGCUGCCUGGUGGGCUGGCCCAUAGCUGCUGGAGAGAGAACAGUUGUUUUAGGCUGGCAUAGUAAAGAUUUGCAAGAUACUUUUGUUACUUCCGGAUGCAGUACACAAGGACGAUAACUAUCAUCUCAGCGCGUCUUAUGCCACCUCAACUCUCUCAAUACUGAAUUAUUAGGAUUUUUUUUUCAAACACGUGGAUAAUGCUUACUAAUCCAUUCUGAAAUGAAAUAGUACAGUGAUAUAUAAAUUGCCGACUGACAACUGCUACCACUGCUUGAUACACUACAUCAGGCACUGAGCUUUUAGUAGGAAACAAAACUUCCAAGCUCCUAACAAGUGGACACUUAAAAAGCACUAAGAUACAAAUAGAUGGUGUAUGGGCCACCAAAUCUCUAGGUCAAUGACAUCCGUCUCACUUAGCCACCCAUGCAGACGUGAUCGCUACGAUUGCAGCCACUGGUGCAGUAGCCACUAAAGCCAUCUGGAGUGCCUUGUUCGUCCUCUUGAGCUUCCUUAUCUCAGCAUAUGCCUCCUUGAGCUCUUCAUAAACCUUGUUCAGCUUCUCCUCGUACCUCUCGUGACGAGUCUUGUGGUAGUUGGCAAGAUCAACAGCAGAUUGGUAACGCUGGUUCGUGUACCUGUCGAGGUCAUCCUCCCAGAGGUACACUUCGCAAAACCUGGCACCUUGUACCUGCACACACAUGAUACAAUGGACAGAGGAAAUGGUAUUAGAGAAAAAGGGUCGAUAUGUGCAUAGAUGGGGACUGUAUUUACCAAAAGCUCACAUUGUAAUUGACACAGUUCAGAUAGAACUUGUCGCGCCUAGCCACCGAGGAUCCAUUGCGCCUUGCGCAUUGCCUGCCACACGCACAGUGCAACCUGUGGAAGGUCUGCACGCUGGCCAUCCCACUGCUUCCCGUGCACUAGGAGAAUGGAUUAUGGGUGGAAGCAGGUUCUCUACAAAAUUGCUGCGAGUUCGUUGUCAAGUGUUGUCUUUCCCAUGGAGCUCACACCCCUUUUUGUAGAGAACCUUGUGUAACUGUACAUUAACUUUCCCAUUACUCCUGCUCCUAACACGCGCAGGAGCCAACUGUGUAGUCAUUUAUCUGUCAGGCUGCAUUGCACUGUUCAUGCCACUUCGCCAGCAGUGCAUGUCCAGUCCCUGCUUUAUGCGCGUGCUGUACUGGCACUCCGGGAGGGAGUGAUUCCUGCAUGUGCUUCUGGCCUGAAUCUCUCACUUCGGAUGGAGCUCACGGGUGUGCUUUGCAUCGCAGGGGAAGCUAGCAAAAUGUCAGCGUCAAAUAUAACAGGUUAAUCGGAUCAUUCAUAAUCAGUGUGGCCGAUGAUGAGUCAAUAACACUCAAGUCUCGUAGUGAAGGCUCUAAAUAACAGUGUUAAGUUAUGUGGCCGCUGACAAAAAAGUUCUUUAAAUUUUGUUAAGUUCUGCGGCUGGCAACAAGAAAGUUCUUUAAAAUCUGUUCCCGUGCCCACUUGGCUCCCUGGUAUCCACAUGUGGCCUACAGUAGCAUAUAUUAGCCACGUGCCUGCUCCCAUUGUGUUGACAUUGGAUUCCAUCCAUGCAUGAGAGGUGGAUAGGUGCCUCCUCCCCCGGUAGAUGCCUCCCUUGGCCACCCUUCUGGCCGCACCAUGUGUCUUAGCUCUGUGACUAUUGACUGAUGUGCACAUCGCCAUGCCUUGGCCGUACUGGGCCGCGCCGCGCGGGUACUAGUACGCUGCGCAUGGGCAUUAGUAUAAGGUGGCGUGCCCCUCCACCCUCACAGCUUCAUCUUUGUCAUGGCAAAUCGAGCCAACUCUACCCCUGAGCUGUUCACCGGCCAAGUAAUUAUGGAUCCGCGCCCCAACUCAUCUGGUACAUCGUCCAUCAAUGUAAGCCCAUGUUGCAUCUAAUCUUGUGGUGGUGUUCAAAGUAGAAUGUUUAAUAUCUUAUAUAAUCUCUGCUCCUCAACUCCACAGACCGCUCCAUCGUCUCUAAGGCCCCUAACUAUUAAGAUGCUGCUUGAUUCUUUCUUCGAGGACACUGAACGCUAUCCAUUAAUCAUCGACGGCAUGCCAGUGUCAUCGGUAGGAUCACACGCACACAUAUUUAGGGUCAUAUAUUAUCAUGUAAUCGUAUGAACUAUUUCUGAAUUAAAUUCAGGUGGAUCUGAUAGGCAUGGUCAGAAACAAAUCACUCAGCAUGGAUCACUGCACGUUCGACCUAUAUGAUGGCACUGGGUCCGUUAAUGUAUACUUCUGGUAAGAUAUUAAUCAAGACACGUUGCUUACAUACUCCUAGUGGGGUAACCAGAUUUUAGAGUGCAAAUAUUAAAGACAUUAUUUGACCAUCCUUGUUGACACCAGGUUUGAUGGCCGUCAAGACUCCAAGGAUGCUUGGUCGUUCAAGUCAGCACAUAUUUUUCAUUAUUAACACCUUCGGUUAUUCCAUUGCAGUUAUGUUCACAUCAUACCUUCUCACUCAUUUUCUUCUUACAAACAGCGAAGGCAUGUAUGUACGUGUUGUUGGGAGGGCUACCAGUUUGGAGCAAUUUUUCCAAAUCAAAGCCUACAUGGUCAGGUGAAUGAUCGAGUUGUUAGUCUCCAAAUUUCCAAAAUGCAUGAAUUUUUCAUUAUCAGUGUGCUUGAUUGCAUAUUGUCUUCAAUUUCUAUAUGCCAGGACCGUAAAGAACUUCAAUGAUAUAACCCAUCACUUUAUCUACUGCAUCAAGGCCCAUAUCAAUAUUUCUAAGCAGAGCAGACUAAAGGUUUGAGUUGCUAACCCAUCACUUUAUCUACUUCAUCUUGCUUAUUAUUCCAUCGUCUCUAUCUGAAAAACUGUGUAUAUUAAGCUUCAGGAAAAUUCCGUUGCCACCCCGUCAGCAUCAACCGUCAUGCCAAGGUAUCAGAUUGCUCCGAGCCAGAUACCAGAAGAUUGCAGCUUUGAGGAGAAGAUAUUUUCNNNNNNNNNNGCUAUUUCCCCGAUGUGCAAUAGAGUUCUGCACGUUAACAACAUAAAGUUCUGUAUGCAGUGACAUGGAUCAUGGGGUAAGUCUAAAGCUGCUUCGCAGCGCACUUGGCGCAAGUCAAGACGAUAUCAUGUAAUGAAAAAUUCCAACUGUUUUUUUGAAAACAUGCCAAAUGUCAUUCCUGAAUACUUGCCUAAUAAAAGUGACUCGUGCGGUGAUGCUUGUUAUUUCAAUUUCAGGAAAGUAAUAAUAGAGCAAAUCCGACUCGGUGAGAUGUACACUACUAUCGGUGAACGCCAUUUCAAGUCUUCAAACUGAAGACGUUCAUUGUAUCGUCGCAAUGCUAUGGGUGAUACUUCGUUUUUGUCACCAGCCCCAACGCCCCCCUUGCAAAUCUGCUGGUUUCAGACUAAUUAGGCCCGUAUUAUUUUUGUAAUAAUAAUUAUCAACUCAGUGAUAUUAUCUUGCUAGGGCUUUUUGUACCCCAUUGGGAAGGAUUAUUUUGCACUUCAUUGCUCCACAUGUUUGUGUAAAGAUGUAAUCCCACUCCUUGAUUAAUCUGGUUCUAGAGAUAGUGCCACUAUUCCCUGCUCACACAGCUACGCUACCAACUCCUGUUCACUCCUGUUUCCUCUCCAUUCACCUUCUGUUCCCUCCUGUUUCCUCUCCAUCCAGCUACCAACUCCCACCCUCGCUUGUUCAUGUCCAGCAUCAUUCCCACAUCGGUUCUUGACAAUGACAACCUUCUGGUAGAAAUCCUUACUAGGCUAUCAUGCACUCGUUCACUUAUUCGCAGCUCAGCUGUUAAUCCCCAAUGGAUGUCUGUAUCUAGAUCUCAGUCUUUCCUUCAGGCAUAUUCUCGUCGCAAUCGCCCGGCAGUGCUCGGAUUCUUGGCAGAGUUCGAGCGUGGUUAUAGUCUCCAUUUUCGUGUUGUGGAUGCAUUAGCUUUUCAAGGUGAGUCGACUAGAGCUCUGCUUCGUUCCCGUAUAGAUGAUUAUUCCCUAUCACAGAAACGCAUACUAGCAUCUGAAUCUGGUGAGCUGCUAGUAAGUAUUAUCAACCCUCCCUUCGUUUCCUCUGAAACGGGCGAGACUGUCGUCGAUGGCUACUACACCUUGUUCCCUAGCUCGUUUCCACCAGUAUACUACUUGGUUGCGUCUCGUAUCCCUCGAGUCCCUCGCAUGCAUGGCCAGCACAGCCCAAACUUUUACGGCCAAUUUGGCAUUCUGCCAGCAGCCGGCCAGAUCGGGUUCUCUUUCUUUGUCAAGGACGCAGCCGGCCCUUUUCUGAAAACAUACGAUGGUAUUAAAUUCAGGUCUAAAUCUGAUUUCCACGUAUAUGUAUGUGUUUUCAGAGGUGGUGUUUGGUCAAGAUUUGUGUCGGCUCCUUUUGAAUAUCGUUCUCCUUGCAUCUUUCACUUAGAUCCUUACUCCGUUUUAGCCGGGAGCUCAUUAUACAUGAUGUAUGUCGUGGGCAUGAUCAUCUGUUUCGACAUUCCUAGCUCUACGUUCACUGUUGUCCAUCUACCAAUAUCAGCCAGAUCCUGUUUUGACUACAGUGUUUCCCUAAACGAGUCUGGCAUCUUGUCUCUUGUUAACUGUUCACAUGGCUUGCUCAAUACGUGGCUGCUUCAACUAGUACACGGCCGCUUGCAGUGGAGCUGUUGCUCAAGAUUAGAUUUAGUAAAGGCAUUUUCUAGCAGGGGUGGACCUACCAUAUGGCAGUCUGCAUUUGGCAUGGAGUACGGGGAGGUUGGCCCUGGUGAUUUCUACUCCGUUCAGAUCAGAUCAGCCAGCAAGAACUCAUCAGUUGUUCUGCUAACCUUCGCAUUCGACCAUGGCAUGUUUGUCGUGGACACUGUUAACGACACUGUUAAUGAGGUUCACUGGUUGCCCGAGGAUGGAGACAUGAGGCAAGCAUUCCCCUUGACGGAGCGUUGGCCACCGACUUUCCGUGACUGAAGACUCCGCCACUGUUUGUUCAACAACUAUCAUGGUCCAACCAUUAUGUUGUGUAUGUAAUGGGAUCCUUGUGUCCAUGAUACUAUUGUAUUGCAUUUGUAAUGAACUCGUUGUGUCCAUGAGACUAUGAUUUUGCAUUCCCCCCUGCUUGUAACAGAUGAACAAUUGAGGAACCAUAAUCUAUGUAUCGGUUUUUCACUUCGCCUCAUAUAUAAUUUAGGUUGUUUUAUAUUUCGUGAAUGUGGAUCGUAAUGGCUUCCUGCUAUCUAAAGUCAUCCUUCUCGAACUACAUGAGUAAUAGUUGUGUCGAACAGAAGAUCAUGUUUUGACGAACUUCCUUCGUUUUGGUCAAAACAAGCACCGGUCGUGGGCGUGUAAAGUACUAUAGCCGGCCGAAGUUGAGAUACAUGUGCAUUGAUAUCAUUUGCUAGAGUCUUUCAUCUUGAUUACUAUAACCGGGCCGGGGUUAAAAUAUAUGUGCAUUGCCAUCUUGAUUACUAAAACCGGGCCGGCGUGUAAAGUACUAUAGCCCGGGCCGAGGUUAUGAUACACGCGCAUUGAUAUCAACUUCUUCACCUCGAUUCACAUAUGAGAGCUAUUCAUCUAUGAGUAGUGAACUAUAUAUUGGAGCCUUGUAACAUUAACGGAUCACACGAGCACUAGUCAUCGUGCAUUUCCCUGAUCACACACUAAAGUACUUCAUCCCGAAUUGCAUGAGCACCAGUCACCGGUUACUAAAGUACUAUUUUCGGGCCUAAUACCGGGCCGGAGUUAAAAUACAUGUGCAUUGCCAUCAAUUGCCAAAGUCCUUCGGUUGGGUUAAAACAUGCACCGGUCAUGGGCGUGUAAAGUACUAUAGCCGGCCGAAUCUGACAUACAUGUGCAUUGUUAUCAUUUGCUAAAAGCUUUCAUUUGAACAACCCGAACACCGCGCAUGAGUGUGUUUCCUUGGAUCGCAUGAUAAAGUUCUUCACCUCGAAUCACACGAGCACUAGUCAUCGAUGGGUAAAGUACUAUUUCCGAGAGCUUAGUAAAAGUAUCGUGCAUUUCUUGAAUCACAUGCUGAGUGAUUGGUUACUUUAGUAUUAUUUUCUGGCCUUGUAACAUUAAUGGGGCGGGAAACAAAACAUGCCGCAACACCGACUGAAUCAUGCAUAUCAUUAAAAUAUCAUUAGUACUAGCCACAUUACCACCACGAGUAUGCUUUGGUGACACCGACAUCUACUGCUAAAGUCCUUCACUCAGAACGACAUGAGCACCGGUCACGCGGGUGUAAAGUACUAUAACCGGCCCGAAGUCAACAUACAUGUGCAUUGAUAUCAUUGGAUAAAGUCCUUUGUUCCGAAUAAAACGAGCACCGGUCAUGCGUGUUUAAAGUAGUAUAGUCGAGGGCGAAGUUAACAUACAUGUGCAUCGGUAUCAAGUACUAAAGUCCUUCAUAUUUAAUAAAACGAGAACUGGUCCUGUGUGUGUAAAGUACUAUAGGCCGGGCCGAGGUUAUGAUACACGCGCAUUGAUAUCAACUUCUUCAUCUCGAUUCACACAUGAGAGCUAUUCAUCUAUGAGUAGAGAACUAUAUAUUAGAGCCUUGUAACAUUAACGGAUCACACGAGCACUAGUCAUCUAGCAUUUCCCUGAUCACACACUAAAGUACUUCAUCCCGAAUUGCAUGAGCACCAGUCACCGGUUACUAAAGUACUAUUUUCGGGCCUAAUACCGGGCCGGAGUUAAAAUACAUGUGCAUUGCCAUCAAUUGCCAAAGUCCUUCGUUUUGGUUAAAACAAGCACCGGUCAUGGGCGUGUAUAGUACUAUAGCCGGCCGAAUCUGACACACAUGUGCAUUGUUAUCAUUUGCUAAAGUCUUUCAUUUUGAACAACCCGAACACCGCGCAUGAGUGUGUUUCCUUGGAUCGCAUGAUAAAGUUCUUCACUUCGAAUCACACGAGCACUAGUCAUCGAUCGUUAAAGUACUAUUGCCGAGAGCUUAGUACAAGUAUCAUGCAUUUCUUGAAUCACAUGCUGAGUGACCGGUUACUUAAGUAUUAUUUUCUGGCCUUGUAACAUUAAUGGGGCGGGAAACAAAACAUGCCGCAACACCGACUGAAUCAUGCAUAUCAUUAAAAUAUCAUUAGUACUAGCCACAUUACCACCAUGAGUAUGCUUCGGUGACACCGACAUCUACUGCUAAAGUCCUUCACUCAGAACGACAUGAGCACCGGUCACGCGGGUGUAAAGUACUAUAACCGGCCCGAAGUCAACAUAUAUGUGCAUUGAUAUCAUUGGAUAAAGUCCUUCGUUCCGAAUAAAACGAGCACCGUUCAUGCGUGUUUAAAGUAGUAUAGUCGAGGGCGAAGUUAACAUACAUGUGCAUCGGUAUCAAGUACUAAAGUCCUUCAUAUUUAAUGAAACGAGCACUGGUCCUGUGUGUGUAAGUACUAUAGGCCGGGCCGAGGUUAUGAUACACGCGCAUUGAUAUCAACUUCUUCAUCUCGAUUCACACAUGAGAGCUAUUCAUCUAUGAGUAGAGAACUAUAUAUUAGAGCCUUGUAACAUUAACUGAUCACACGAGCACUAGUCAUCUAGCAUUUCCUUGAUCACACACUAAAGUACUUCAUCCCGAAUUGCAUGAGCACCAGUCACCGGUUACUAAAGUACUAUUUUCGGGCCUAAUACCGGGCCGGAGUUAAAAUACAUGUGCAUUGCCAUCAAUUGCCAAAGUCCUUCGUUUUGGUUAAAACAAGCACCGGUCAUGGGCGUGUAUAGUACUAUAGCCGGCCGAAUCUGACACACAUGUGCAUUGUUAUCAUUUGCUAAAGUCUUUCAUUUUGAACAACCCGAACACCGCGCAUGAGUGUGUUUCCUUGGAUCGCAUGAUAAAGUUCUUCACUUCGAAUCACACGAGCACUAGUCAUCGAUCGUUAAAGUACUAUUGCCAAGAGCUUAGUACAAGUAUCGUGCAUUUCUUGAAUCACAUGCUGAGUGACCGGUUACUUAAGUAUUAUUUUCUGGCCUUGUAACAUUAAUGGGGCGGGAAACAAAACAUGCCGCAACACCGACUGAAUCAUGCAUAUCAUUAAAAUAUCAUUAGUACUAGCCACAUUACCACCAUGAGUAUGCUUCGGUGACACCGACAUCUACUGCUAAAGUCCUUCACUCAAAACGACAUGAGCACCGGUCACGCGGGUGUAAAGUACUAUAACCGGCCCGAAGUCAACAUACAUGUGCAUUGAUAUCAUUGGAUAAAGUCCUUCGUUCCGAAUAAAACGAGCACCGGUCAUGCGUGUUUAAAGUAGUAUAGUCGAGGGCGAAGUUAACAUACAUGUGCAUCGGUAUCAAGUACUAAAGUCCUUCAUAUUUAAUAAAACGAGCACUGGUCCUGUGUGUGUAAAGUACUAUAGGCCGGGCCGAGGUUAUGAUACACGCGCAUUGAUAUCAACUUGUUCAUCUCGAUUCACACAUGAGAGCUAUUCAUCUAUGAGUAGAGAACUAUAUAUUAGAGCCUUGUAACAUUAACGGAUCACACGAGCACUAGUCAUCUAGCAUUUCCUUGAUCACACACUAAAGUACUUCAUCCCGAAUUGCAUGAGCACCAGUCACCGGUUACUAAAGUACUAUUUUCGGGCCUAAUACCGGGCCGGAGUUAAAAUACAUGUGCAUUGCCAUCAAUUGCCAAAGUCCUUCGUUUUGGUUAAAACAAGCACCGGUCAUGGGCGUGUAUAGUACUAUAGCCGGCCGAAUCUGACACACAUGUGCAUUGUUAUCAUUUGCUAAAGUCUUUCAUUUUGAACAACCCGAACACCGCGCAUGAGUGUGUUUCCUUGGAUCGCAUGAUAAAGUUCUUCACUUCGAAUCACACGAGCACUAGUCAUCGAUCAUUAAAGUACUAUUGCCGAGAGCUUAGUACAAGUAUCGUGCAUUUCUUGAAUCACAUGCUGAGUGACCGGUUACUUAAGUAUUAUUUUCUGGCCUUGUAACAUUAAUGGGGUGGGAAACAAAACAUGCCGCAACACCGACUGAAGCAUGCAUAUCAUUAAAAUAUCAUUAGUACUAGCCACAUUACCUCCACGAGUAUGCUUCGGUGACACCGACAUCUACUGCUAAAGUCCUUCACUCAAAACGACAUGAGCACCGGUCACACGGGUGUAAAGUACUAUAACCGGCCCGAAGUCAACAUACAUGUGCAUUGAUAUCAUUGGAUAAAGUCCUUCGUUCCGAUCAAAACGAGCACCGGUCAUGCGUGUUUAAAGUAAUAUAGUCGAGGGCGAAGUUAACAUACAUGUGCAUCGGUAUCAAGUACUAAAGUCCUUCAUAUUUAAUGAAACGAGCACUGGUCCUGUGUGUGUAAAGUACUAUAGGCCGGGCCGAGGUUAUGAUACACGCGCAUUGAUAUCAACUUCUUCAUCUCGAUUCACACAUGAGAGCUAUUCAUCUAUGAGCAGAGAACUAUAUAUUAGAGCCUUGUAACAUUAACGGAUCACACGAGCACUAGUCAUCUAAAGUACUUCAUCCCGAAUUGCAUGAGCACCAGUCACCGGUUACUAAAGUACUAUUUUCGGGCCUAAUACCGGGCCGGAGUUAAAAUACAUGUGCAUUGCCAUCAAUUGCCAAAGUCCUUCGUUUUGGUUAAAACAAGCACCGGUCAUGGGCAUGUAUAGUACUAUAGCCGGCCGAAUCUGACACACAUGUGCAUUGUUAUCAUUUGCUAAAGUCUUUCAUUUUGAACAACCCGAACAUCGCGCAUGAGUGUGUUUCCUUGGAUCGCAUGAUAAAGUUCUUCACUUCGAAUCACACGAGCACUAGUCAUCGAUCGUUAAAGUACUAUUGCCGAGAGCUUAGUACAAGUAUCGUGCAUUUCUUGAAUCACAUGCUGAGUGACCGGUUACUUAAGUAUUAUUUUCUGGCCUUGUAACAUUAAUGGGGCGGGAAACAAAGCAUGCCGCAACACUGACUGAAUCAUGCAUAUCAUUAAAAUAUCAUUAGUACUAGCCACAUUACCACCAUGAGUAUGCUUCGGUGACACCGACAUCUACUGCUAAAGUCCUUCACUCAGAACGACAUGAGCACCGGUCACGCGGGUGUAAAGUACUAUAACCGGCCCGAAUUCAACAUACAUGUGCAUUGAUAUCAUUGGAUAAAGUCCUUCGUUCCGAUUAAAACGAGCACCGGUCAUGCGUGUUUAAAGUAGUAUAGUCGAGGGCGAAGUUAACAUACAUGUGCAUCGGUAUCAAGUACUAAAGUCCUUCAUAUUUAAUGAAACGAGCACUGGUCCUGUGUGUGUAAAGUACUAUAGGCCGGGCCGAGGUUCACACAUGAGAGCUAUUCAUCUAUGAGUAGAGAACUAUGUAUUAGAGCCUUGUAACAUUAAUGGAUCACACGAGCACUAGUCAUCUAAAGUACUUCAUCCCAAAUUGCAUGAGCACCAGUCACCGAUUACUAAAGUACUAUUUUCGAGCCUAAUACCGGGCCGGAGUUAAAAUACAUGCGCAUUGCCAUCAAUUGCCAAAGUCCUUCGUUUCGGUUAAAACAAGCACCGGUCAUGGGCGUGUAAAGUACUAUAGCCGGCCGAAUCUGUCAUACAUGUGCAUUGAUAUCAUUUGCUAAAAUCUUUCACUUGAACAACCCGAUCACCGCGUAUGAGUGUGUUUCCUUGGAUCGCAUGGAAAAGUUCUUCACCUCGAAUCACACGAGCGCUAGUCGUCGGUGGGUAAAGUACUAUCACAUGAGCAUUGAUAUCAUCUGAUAAAGUCCUUCGUUUCGAUUGAAACGAGCACCGGCCAUGCGUGUGUAAAGUACUAGUGUAUAGUGGGAAGUUAACAUACGUGUGCAUCGGUAUCAAGUACUAAAGUCCUUCCUUUCUAAUGAAACGAGCACUGGUCGUGUACGUGUAAAGUACUUCACUCAUCGACAUGGACUGCUAAAGUCCUUCACUCAUAAUGACAUGAGCACCGGUCACGCGGGUGUAAAGUACUAUAACCGGCCCGAAGUUAUCAUACAUGUGCAUUGACAUCAUUUGAUGAAGUCCUUCAUUUCGAUUAAAACGAGCACUGGUCAUGCAUGUGUAAAGUACUAUCGUCGAGGGCGAAGUUAACAUACAUGUGCAUCGAUAUCAAAUACUAAAGUCCUUAUUUUUUAAUGAAACAAGCACUGUAGUGUGUCUGUAAAGUACUAUAACCGGGCCAAGGUUAUGAUACACGCGCAUUGAUAUCAACUUCUUCAACUCGAUUCACAUGAGAGCUAUUCAUCUAUGAGUAAUGAACUAUAUAUUGGAGCCUUCUAACAUUAACAGAUCACAUGAGCACUAGUCAUAGUGCAUUUCCUUGACCACACACUAAAGUCCUUCAUCCCGAAUUGCAUGAGCACCAGUGACCGGUUACUAAAGUAUUAUUUUCAGGUUAUCCCAAAAUGUUAUAUAUUUAUAAUUAUCCCAGCCUUCCAAAAUGCACUUUUCUCUGAAUCAAACCAUAGUGAGGUUAUCCCAAAAUUCCCAAAAAAUGACCCGGCCCUCACUGUUGUAAAGUUUGUUUACUCUUUUGGCCAGAUUGUUGUAGUUUUUUAGCACAACAUCUGCAGAAGAGCAAAUCAUCAUACGUAUGACCUGUGUGUUGUACCACAUCCAACGCAAGGGCAAAAACUAGUGCCAACAUUCCUAUAUCCUCCCCACCCCUCACCCCCUCCCGAACGAGAUGCCACAGCCACAAAAUCCCCUCCUCCUCCUCACCAAACCUAACCUUAUCCGUGGCGUGCGUCUUCGCUGCUUGUGGUCUCCCAAAUGGAAUCCUCUUCCUCGUCAUCUGGAGCACGCUCGUCCUCCCAUGGUGGACCUCCUGGCUAUUCUCCGAACCCUUCCCCAAUUCCUUAUCGUGAGCAGCCGCUAGCAUACGAGCCAUCUGAAGAUUGCCCAUGCCACAAGAAAGCGGCGAGAUGGAUCUCCUGGAGCAACGGAAAUCCUGGUCGUAGGUAUCUGACCUGCCAGAGAUCUCGGGUAAGCAUUCAUUUGACAGUAUUUCCUUCUCCAUUCUUGCUGGAUCUUUCUCGCAUUCAUAUAUUUGGCACACUUUCUUGGCGAUGGAUUGAUGACCCUACUACGCCCUUUCUUCGCCAACUUUUGGUCGAUCUGCGUGACGCGGUGAACAACCUCCGGAGGGAGAACACUCAGCUCAGAGGAGUAAAUGCAGACCUGGAAAUGGGGAUUGAGGACCGAAGCACCCAGAAUAAUGCUUUGCGGGAUGCAUUGCGCAAGAUGAAGGAACAGAAUCAGGCUCUUGAAGAGAAGUUGGGGCAAACUGAAGGCCCGCUGAAUGUGAAAAACAAUGGUCAUCAGAAGCGGAUGCUUUUUAGUGUAGUUCUGAUAGUGAUGAUUGUGUUUUUAGUUAGCAAGCUUGCUGCUUAGUAUGAUUAACUUAGAGAUGCACUGCUUCUGCUGUUGUGCUCUGGAUGUGCAAUAUAUUUACUAUUGUGCUCGUCGCUGCUGUUUCCCCUCGUCAAACUGAAGAAUGUAAUUUCUUUUAAACAUGGUACGUAUGUCACAUGUUAGAAAUCAUGUAGCAUAACAUAUUGGCAGGGCAUCAUAAAUUUAACGAUAGCAAACACAAGUUUCUUAGACAAAAGACAAGCCCCGUUUCAAUUUCAGAUGAACUUGUCCUUUCUCGCAUCAGUACAAAUGUUAUCUUCUUACUUGCACAUCAUCUGAAGAAGUGCCAAGUUUUAAUGUCUUGAAACUGAAAGAUCACUACACGGCCGAAUAAACCUAAAUGUUCACCACAACAUCAUUUUUCAUCUUCCUUAACAGCAAAUGAGGUUAUUUGCACAAAAAAAUGCACGAGGCAAGAGUAAAAGUAAACCAGUUGCAAGUGCAAUCAAAUCAUUGGAAGACGCCGAACAUUCUUCCUGAGCAGUUAUUCCUCUUGUGGCCUUCCAGGCCGCACUUUGUACACUUUGGAACUUUCCUUUUUUUCUUUGCUACCCCUCCAAAUGAGGGGCAUCCCGAUGCUUUGUGACCCCUCCCUCUACAGAUUGAGCAAAACUUUGUUCUUGGCUUGCUAACAUUUUCAUAACCUGGCUUUGCUCUUGCGUUUGUUGGCCUGCCUAGAUCCCUCUUGCGUGAUACAACAUUCAUUGAACCUGACAGACCAUUUGCUCCUGGUGUCACAGGGACAUCUUGGUCAUGUGCUUGAGCAGUGGCUUGAUCAUUUAACCCUCGUCCAUCGCUCUCCUGGUUGAUAUCAUUUAGAACACUUAUUGCGUCCAGCAACUGCUUCAUUGCAGCUCCAUAAGCUUCAGUGUUCUUGUCCCCCAUUUGGACAAUCUCGAGCGCCUUACUGUACAAGGAAGAGUGCCGAUAAGUUGCGUCCUUCAGUGCAGAAUUGCAUGCUUUAUAUAUCAUCAGAUGCACUGGCAGGUUCUCGCAGGCGUUCUUCGUCCAUCUCUUCAUGAUGUGUACUUCUGGGAUGUCCCUAACUCCGAGAUGUAGCAGCACCUGUCGACGACAGAGAAAACGCUUGGUCAGAUUAAAUCUCCAUAUAUGGAUCCUAUAUUAAUUUAUGUAAAUAUGUCUCGUUGACAUACAUGCUCUGAGGAUACGUGUCUGAAUCUAGGUGUACCACUUUUGCUUAAAAAGGGGUGUUGCAAACUUGGAGCAGGCCAAAAAACUCAGUAACUGAUAGAGAGUGUAUUGUAAAAAACUGAGGUUUUAGAAUUCAGGAACUAUCGCAAGUAAGCUCCGUCAGAUGAAGAAAUCAUGAGUAUUGUGACAUACAUGCUAUGAGGAUACAUGUCUGAAUCUAGGUGUACUACUUUUGCUUAAAAAAGGAUAUUGCAAACUUGGAGCAGGCCAAAAAAACUCAGUAACUGAUAGAGAGUGUAUUGUAAAAAACUGAGGUUUUAGGAUUCAGGAACUAUCGCAAGUAAGCUCCAUCAGAGUAAGAUAGCAUGAGUAUUGUGACUUACCCGAAUAGCAUGACAGCACAUCAUGCCCAUAUGUGAGUAAAGACCACACUCACAUAAAUAUCCUCCGGACCCCUCAUGAAACAGAACAUGAUAUUGUGUCCUGGACCAUGCUUGCCUCCUCUCUGCAUAGAUGUGGUUAACAACGUAGACCACGCCUUGUUCUGUCUGCCAGGCCUCUUGUAACACAAAUGACCCUGACAAGUAAAUUGCGUGUUGGAACAGCUCAUACAUAGCUGCAGUGUAGACCUUGCUUGCAUGGUAUUCUAGAGGCACUCCCAGGUUGAAGACAACGCCACCCUGAAACCAUCAGUUGCCAAUGAGUUAACUAUAACAUAUAUGAAUCCAUGCAGUUUCGUGAACCAAAUAACCAUGCUAUGUAUGAUGAUUUGUCUAUGGCUUACCACACGAGUCUUCUUCGCUUGAAAAUCUUCCUCUGAUUGUCUAUCAAACAAUAAUUUUUGAUACUGCCUUACAAAAUUGUUCAUGGACAAUGCCGACUGCACAUAAUUCUUGAGCAUAUGGUUUGCACUGUCGGAACGCUGUGUGCUCGUCAUCCUUGCGCAGAACACACCUGCAAAAUAUGGCUUUGCCCAUUUUGUUCUAACUUCAUAUAUUUGAGUGAGCCAUGGGUGGUCUGCAAGUUGAUAUUUCUCAAUCAAGCUGGCCCAUGCGGUUUCAAACUCAUCUACUGUGACCAUAUACUCGAGAAGUUUGUGAAACUCGUCUCUGAAAUCACUGUUUUUUGAAUAAACAGAACCUAGAUGUUCCCUUGCUUUUUGCAAUACAUGCCAUUUGCACCACCUGUGAGUUGUAUCAGGCCACUGGGAAUAUAUAGCCCUCUCCAUUGCACGGGCUUGGUCUGUGAUAAAUGAAGAAAUGACAUUCAUGGCGAGGGCAAUGCAAAGAGAAAUAGUAAUUAAAGGAAUUAAUGUUACAUUUUGUUGGUGCUUUUAAAUUACCCGUGAGUAUUGUUUUUGGAUCCUUCCCUCCCAUCAAAGAUGCAAAUUCCUUGAACACCCACUCAAAAGUCUCAGUUGUUUCAUCGCGUAGCAACACUCCUCCAAGGAUGAUGCUCUGAAAGUGAUUGUUGACACCAACAAAAAGACCAAACGGCAUGUCGUACUGGUUUGUACGAUAUGUUGUGUCGAAUGUUAUUGCAUCUCCAAAGAUUUUGUACUGGUGUCGGCUCUUACCGUCUGUCCACAUCAAUGCCCUGAUCUUGCUGCCUUCAUCAACAAGCACACUGUCGACAAACUUUGGAUCCUUCUCUUUCAAUUCAGAGAAGAGUUGUAUCGUCUUUCUGAUGUCAUCAUCGCCCUGCUGCUGAUUCAUCCUCUUGCAGAGAUAACACAGAGAUCUCUUGUUAAAGGGCAAGUUUUCCAUAUCCCUAAGAAAGCUUGCAAUCACACCGAAAGUCUUGCUUAAUGAUAUAUUGUUGUUCCUAAGGUGCAUGACAAUGUCUUUGGCAUGGGCAUCAAUGUGCCUGUGAGAUGGCCAGUGCAACUUCUCUCCACAUGUUUGUGCCAUACUGUGAUUAUGCUCAUGCUUCACAUCAUGGAUGAACCAACCAUGGUCUGACGUGCGAUGCAACCUCAUAAGCGCAGGACAUUGGCAGCAUACUGAAUGUGAAUUUUCCCUGCGUGGUUUCCCCAGAUAAAAUGGUGGUAAACAAAAGCAAUGAGACAUAAAUAUGGACUUUUCAGCCAAAAAAUCAAAAAAUUGGAUAUAUAUCAUACUGAAUGCAAUUGCAAAUGUUAGCCGGCUGGAUGAUAUAACUCACCACGCAUCCGCAAACUAUGUCCUGGACCGUCUUGCACUUUUCAAUGUUUCUUCUGCAUUGCCCAUACUUGAUGCCAAAACCAAUCUCCCACGAGUAUAGGUUGUAGAAGUCGUAAGCUUCGGCCAAAGAAUCAAAUUCCUGGCCGAUCUCUGGCUUGACGACGAACUCUGACUUCUUAUCAGCGUAAUUUCUCAUGGCCUUUUCCAAAGCACUUUUCCUUCCCGAUAAUGUGGCACGGCUGUCAGGAAUUUUGCCAAGUCGGACCCUAAGUAAAUCAGAGAUGUAAGCCGCAGAAGCAAAUGUAAACAAAAUAGCGCAAGUAUGAUCAGAAUAUGCACAUUCCAAUGACUUGGAUCAUAAGUGUCUGAUUUGCAUUGCGGAAAACACAAUGAUGAAUUCAGACAACUCGGAGAUGACGGCCUCAUGCGUACAUGAUAAGUAUCAGUUGUUGAAUCCAAGCAUUCUGAAAUAUUUAACCGUGUAUUAUGAUAAGUUUCGUCCUUCUUAAAAAGAACGUCCUGCUGUACAUGCCCGUGCCCACCCCAAUUUAUUAAAAAAAGGACAGCAGAAACUGUCACUAUAAUUUACUGUGACCACAUACCCAGAUUCAUGAUUCUUUGACACAUGGAUGAGAAAUUUGGGCAAGUGUACUGUUACUGUCAUCCCACUAAACGUGCUACAACUAAAAACAGAUUUGACAGCAAACAACUGAACACGCUACAUCGAAUCUUAAGGUAUUCAGUCCUGACUUUUGACAAUCUUGCCUACUUCUCCUCUUCAACUAAAUUUAACAUUCAUCAAUGCCAAAACUAAAAACUAGAAACUGAAUAUAGACCCGUGCUAGUACCUUUGAGUCCACGGAACUGGAAUGGGAUGCGAUUCGGGCUGGGUCUCUUCUGCGUCGUCAAUAUCUGGGAUGUUGGAGAAAUAUGGCAUAGCCUCCUGAUCUUCAGGAGUUCCUGAAUCUGUGGCAUCAGAUUUCUCUCCAUCUUGGCUUGAAGAAGGAGAAUGAUUCUGGAAAUUAGGAUGGAUGCGCUCUUCGCCCUCCUCGUCCUCGUCCUCGACCUCCUCCUCCUNNNNNNNNNNNNNNNNNNNNNNNNNNNNNNNNNNNNNNNNNNNNNNNNNNNNNNNNNNNNNNNNNNNNNNNNNNNNNNNNNNNNNNNNNNNNNNNNNNNNNNNNNNNNNNNNNNNNNNNNNNNNNNNNNNNNNNNNNNNNNNNNNNNNNNNNNNNNUGGCAAGAUGAGGAUUGCUGCCCUUUGGAGAAAAUGCGCCGACGAAAAAGAGGAUCCACAAGACGAGGAGAUACCUGAAGAGGAGAUCCGUGAAUGACUCUGCACCGCGAUUCAUCGUUGAAUCGUGAAGCAACCUAGGGAUCCAGGCGCGUGGACGGGGAGGCCGUGGUUCGUCCGCUCGAUGCAGCUGCAUCUGCCUGCUUUGAUUCAAAUUUUGAAUCGCGGAUGGGGAUGGUCGGGGGUGGGGGCUGGUCACGGGGUAGUGGACGGGGGGUAGGCGAGUACAUGCUACACGUCGUGCGUAGGUAGGAUGGCAGAUACGAUAGGACGUGUAUUCUCUCCGUAUACGCUGAGAAAAGAGGAAAUAGGCACAAUCUAGUGGGUCCGUGUGGGGCCUGGGGCGCUGAUCCACACGACGAGCGGACGGUGUCGAUACGAGUUGUGCGUCUAACUAGUUAGGAAUAGCCAUAUUUGCGGAGUGAGUAUAUUUGCGGAGUGAGUAUAUAAACGAGUUGGGGUGGGCACGGGCAUAUUCCUAACUAGUUAGACGCACAACUCGUAUCAACGUCGUCCGCUCGUCGUGUGGAUCAGCGCCCCAGGCCCCACACGGACCCACUAGAUUGUGCCUAUCUCCUCUUUUCUCAGCGUAUACGGAGAGAAUACACGUCCUAUCGUAUCUGCCAUCCUACCUACGCACGACGUGUAGCAUGUACUCGCCUACCCCCCGUCCACUACCCCGUGACCAGCCCCCACCCCCGACCAUCCCCAUCCGCGAUUCAAAAUUCGAAUCGAAGCAGGCAGACGCAGCUGCAUCGAGCGGACGAACCACGGCCUCCCCGUCCACGCGCCUGGAUCCCUAGGUUGCUUCACGAUUCAACGAUGAAUCGCGGUGCAGAGUCAUUCACGGAUCUCCUCUUUAGGUAUCUCCUCGUCUUGUGGAUCCUCUUUUUCGUCGGCGCAUUUUCUCCAAAGGGCAGCAAUCCUCAUCUUGCCAUUGCCUGCGGCAGAUUUUGUUCCCAGCCGGCCGCAACAGAGGGCGUCCCAGAUCUGGGAUUGCUAGAGGAGGAGGAGGAGGAGGAGGAGGAGGAGGAGGAGGAGGUCGAGGACGAGGAGGAGGAGGGCGAAGAGCGCAUCCAUCCUAAUUUCCAGAAUCAUUCUCCUUCUUCAAGCCACGUUGGAGAGAAAUCUGAUGCCACAGAUUCAGGAACUCCUGAAGAUCAGGAGGCUAUGCCAUAUUUCUCCAACGUCCCAGAUAUUGACGACGUAGAAGAGACCCAGCCCGAAUCGCAUCCCAUUCCAGUUCCGUGGACUCAAAGGUACUAGCACGGGUCUAUAUUCAGUUUCUAGUUUUUAGUUUUGGCAUUGAUGAAUGUUAAAUUUAGCUGAAGAGGAGAAGUAGGCAAGAUUGUCAAAAGUGAGGACUGAAUACCUUAAGAUUCGAUGUAGUGUGUUCAGUUGUUUGCUGUCAAAUCUGUUUUUAGUUGUAGCACGUUUAGUGGGAUGACAGUAACAGUACACUUGCCCAAUUUUCUCAUCCAUGUGUCAAAGAAUCAUGAAUCUGGGUAUGUGUGUUCGGGAACGUUGCAGAAAAUUAAUUUUUUUCCUACGGUUUCACCAAGAUCCAUCUAUGAGUUCAUCUAAGCAACGAGUCAAGGGAGAGAGUUUGCAUCUACAUACCACUUGUAGAUCACGAGCGGAAUCUUGCCAAGGGGAUGGUGAUGAUGGAGUCGUACUCGAACGUGAUUCGGAUCACCGAUAUCCAAGUGCUGAACGGACAGCACCUCCGCGUUCAACACACGUACGGGACGGGAGACGUCUCCUCCUUCUUGAUCCAGCAAGGGGAAAGGAGAGGUUGAGGAAGGCAGCUCCAACGGCAGCACGACGGCGUGGUGCAGUUGAUGCGGCAGUAUUCCGACAGGGCUUCGCCAAGCACGUACGGAGGAGGAGAGGUGUUGGGGAGGGGAGGGGCUGCGCCUUGGCUUGUGGUGUAUUGCAGCCCUCCCCUCACCCCUCUAUAUAUAGGGGAAAGGGCAAGGGGGGCCGGCCCUCUAGGGAAAACCCUAGGGGGGCGGCCAAGGGGUGGGGGGCUUGCCCCCCAAGCAAGGGCGGUGCGCCCCCUUUAGGGUUUCCCCCCCAACCCUAGGCGCAUGGGCCCAAGGAGGGGGCGUGCCAAGCCCACUAGGGGUUGGCUGCUAUCCCCACGCAGCCCAAGUGGCCCCCCGGGAGGGGUGGCCCCUCCCGGUGGACCCCCGGAACCCUUCCGGUGGUCCCGGUACAAUACCGGUAUGACCCCGAAACUUUCCGGUGCCCGUUUAACAACUUCCCAUAUAUAAAACUUUACCUCCGGACCAUUCCGGAACUCCUCGUGACGUCCGGGAUCUCAUCCGGGACUCCGAACAACAUUUGGUAGUCACAUACUAGUCUUCCUAACAACCCUAGCGUCACCGAACCUUAAGUGCGUAGACCCUACGGGCUCGGGAGACAUGCAGACAUGACCGAGACCACUCUCGGGCAAUAACCAACAGCGGGGUCUGGAUACCCAUGUUGGCUCCCACAUGCUCCUCGAUGAUUUCAUCGGUUGAACCACGAUAUCGAGGAUUCGAUCAAACCCUGUAUACAAUUCCCUUUGUCAAUCGGUACGUUACUUGCCUGAGACUCGAUCGUCGGUAUCCCAAUACCUUGUUCAGUCUUGUUACCGGCAAGUCACUUUAUCGUACCGUAAUGCAUGAUCCCGUGGCCAACACAUUGGUCACCUUGAGCUCAUUAUGAUGAUGCAUUACCGAGUGGGCCCAGAGAUACCUCUCCGUCAUACGGAGUGACAAAUCCCAGUCUCGAUCCGCAUAAAACAAUAGCUACUUUCGGAGAUACCUAUAGUGCACCUUUAUAGUCACCCAGUUACGUUGUGACGUUUGAUACACCCAAAUCACUCCUACGGUAUCCAGGAGUUACACGCUCUCAUGGUCAAAGGAAGAGAUACUUGACAUUGGCAAAGCUCUAGCAAACGAACUACACGAUCUUUGUGCUAUGCUUAGGAUUGGGUCUUGUCCAUCACAUCAUUCUCCUAAUGAUGUGAUCCCGUUAUCAACGACAUCCAAUGUCCAUAGCCAGGAAACCAUGACUAUCUGUUGAUCACAACGAGCUAGUCAACUAGAGGCUCACUAGGGACAUAUUGUGGUCUAUGUAUUCACACGUGUAUUACGAUUUCCGGAUAAUACAGUUAUAGCAUGAAUAAAAGACCAUUAUCAUGAACAAAGAAAUAUAAUAAUAACACUUUUAUUAUUGCCUCUAGGGCAUAUUUCCAACAGUCUCCCACUUGCACUAGAGUCACUAAUCUAGUUACAUUGUGAUGAAUCGAACACCCAUAGAGUUCUGGUGUUGAUCAUGUUUUGCUCGCGAGAGAGGUUUAGUCAACGGAUCUGCGACAUUCAGAUCUGUAUGUACUUUGCAAAUUUCUAUGUCUCCAUCUUGAACAUUUUCACGGAUGGAGUUGAAACGACGCUUGAUGUGCCUGGUCUUCUUGUGAAACCUGGGCUCCUUAGCAAGGGCAAUAGCUCCAGUGUUGUCACAGAAGAGUUUGAUUGGCCCCGACGCAUUGGGUAUGACUCCUAGGUCGGCGAUGAACUCCUUCACCCAAAUAGCUUCAUGCGCUGCCUUCGAGGCUGCCAUGUACUCCGCUUCACAUGUAGAUCCCGCCACGACGCUCUGCUUGCAGCUGCACCAGCUUACUGCUCCACCAUUCAACAUAUACACGUACCCGGUUUGUGACUUAGAGUAAUCCAGAUCUGUGUCGAAGCUAGCGUCGACGUAACCCUUUACGACGAGCUCUUCGUCACCUCCAUAAACAAGAAACAUGUCCUUUGUCCUUUUCAGGUACUUCAGGAUAUUCUUGACCGCUGUCUAGUGUUCCUUGCCGGGAUUACUCUGGUAUCUUGCUACCAAACUUACGGCAAGGUUUACAUCAGGUCUGGUACACAGCAUGACAUACAUAAUAGAUCCUAUGGCUGAAGCAUAGGGGAUGACACUCAUCUCUUCUUUAUCUUUUGCCGUGGCCGGUGACUGAGCUGAGCUCAAUCUCACACCUUGUAACAUAGGCAAGAACCCUUUCUUGGACUCAUCCAUUUUGAACUUUUUCAAAAUCUUAUCAAGGUAUGUGCUUUGUGAAAGACCUAUGAGGCGUCUCGAUCUAUCUCUAUAGAUCUUGAUGGCUAAUAUAUAAGCAGCUUCUCCAAGGUCCUUCAUUGAAAAACAUUUGUUCAAGUAGGCCUUAAUGCUGUCCAGAAAUUCUAUAUUAUUUCCCAUCAAGAGUAUGUCAUCUACAUAUAAUAUGAGAAAUGCUACAGAGCUCCCACUCACUUUCUUGUAAACACAGGCUUCUCCAUAAGUCUGCAUAAACCCAAACGCUUUGAUCAUCUCAUCAAAGAGAAUAUUCCAACUCCGAGAUGCUUGCACCAGCCCAUAAAUGGAUCGCUGGAGCUUGCAUACUUUGUUAGCAUUCUUAGGAUCGACAAAACCUUCCGGCUGCAUCAUAUACAGCUCUUCCUUAAGAUGCCCGUUAAGGAAUGCCGUUUUGACGUCCAUCUGCCAUAUCUCAUAAUCAUAGUAUGCGGCAAUUGCUAACAUGAUUCGGACGGACUUAAGCUUCGCUACGGGAGAGAAUGUCUCGUCGUAGUCAAUCCCUUGAACUUGUCGAUAACCCUUAGCGACAAGUCGAGCUUUAGAGAUGGUGACAUUACCAUCCGCGUCCGUCUUCCUCUUAAAGAUCCAUUUGUUUUCUAUCGCUCGCCGAUCAUUGGGCAAGUCUGUCAAAGUCCAUACAUUGUUUUCAUACAUGGAUUCUAUCUCGGAUUUCAUGGCUUCAAGCCAUUUGUUGGAAUCUGGGCCCGCCAUCGCUUCUUCAUAGUUCGAAGGUUCACCGUUGUCUAACAACAUGAUUUCCAGGACAGGGUUGCCGUACCACUCUGGUGCGGAACGUGUCCUUGUGGACCUACGAAGUUCAGUAGCAACUUGAUCCGAAGUACCUUGAUCAUCAUCAUUGUUUUCCUCUUCGAUUGGUGUGGGCAUCACAGGAACAUUUUCCUGAGCUGCACUACUUUCCCGUUCGAGAGGUAGUACUUCAUCGAGUUCUACUUUCCUCCCACUUACUUCUUUCGAGAGAAACUCUUUUUCCAGAAAGCAUCCGUUUUUGGCAACAAAGAUCUUGCCUUCGGAUCUUAAGUAGAAGGUAUACCCUACAGUUUCCUUAGGGUAUCCUAUGAAGACGCAUUUUUCCGACUUGGGUUCGAGCUUUUCAGGUUGAAGUUUCUUGACAUAAGCAUCGCAUCCCCAAACUUUUAGAAACGACAGCUUAGGUUUCUUCCCAAACCAUAAUUCAUACGGUGUCGUCUCAACGGAUUUAGACGGUGCCCUAUUUAAAGUGAAUGUAGCUGUCUCUAGAGCGUAUCCCCAAAAUGAUAGCGGUAAAUUGGUAAGAGACAUCAUAGACCGCACCAUAUCCAAUAGAGUGCGAUUACGACGUUCGGACACACCGUUUCGCUGAGGUGUUCCAGGCGGCGUGAGUUGUGAAACGAUUCCACAUUUCCUUAAGUGUGUGCCAAAUUCGUGACUUAAAUAUUCUCCUCCACGAUCUGAUCGUAGAAACUUUAUCUUUCGGUCACGUUGAUUCUCCACCUCAUUCUGAAAUUCCUUGAACUUUUCAAAGGUGUCAGACUUGUGUUUCAUUAAGUAGACAUACACAUAUCUACUUAAGUCAUCAGUUAGAGUGAGAACAUAACGAUAUCCUCCGCGAGCCUCAACGCUCAUUGGACCGCACACAUCGGUAUGUAUGAUUUCCAACAAGUUGGUUGCUCGCUCCAUUGUUCCGGAGAACGGAGUCUUGGUCAUUUUGCCCAUGAGGCAUGGUUCGCAUGUGUCAAACGAUUCAUAAUCAAGAGACUCCAAAAGUCCAUCAGCAUGGAGCUUCUUCAUGCGCUUGACACCAAUGUGACCAAGGCGGCAGUGCCACAAGUAUGUGGGACUAUCGUUAUCAACUUUACAUCUUUUGGCAUCUACACUAUGAACAUGUGUAAUAUUACGCUCAAGAUUCAUUAAGAAUAAACCAUUGACCAUCGGAGCAUGACCAUAAAACAUAUCUCUCAUAUAAAUCGAACAACCAUUAUUCUCAGAUUUAAUGAGUAGCCAUCUCGUAUUAAACGAGAUCCGGAACAAUGUUCAUGCUCAAACUUGGCACUAAAUAACAAUUAUUAAGGUUCAAAACUAAUCCCGUAGGUAAAUGUAGAGGCAGCGUGCCGACGGCGAUCACAUCGACUCUGGAACCAUUCCCGACGCGCAUCGUCACCUCGUCCUUCGCCAGUCUCCUUUUAUUCCGCAGCUCCUGCUGUGAGUUACAAAUAUGAGCAACGGCACCGGUAUCAAAUACCCAGGAGUUACUACGAGUACUGGUAAGGUACACAUCAAUUACAUGUAUAUCAAAUAUACCUUUGGUGUUGCCGGCCUUCUUAUCCGCUAAGUAUUUGGGGCAGUUCCGCUUCCAGUGACCCUUCCCCUUGCAAUAAAAGCACUCAGUCUCAGGCUUGGGUCCAUUCUUUGACUUCUUCCCGGCAACUGGCUUACCGGGUGCGGCAACCUCCUUGCCGUCCUUCUUGAAGUUCUUCUUGCCCUUGCCCUUCUUGAACUUAGUGGUCUUAUUGACCAUCAACACUUGAUGUUCUUUCUUGAUUUCAGCCUCUCUGACUUCAGCAUCGAGAACACUUCAGGAAUGGUCUUUUCCAUCCCCUGCAUGUUGUAGUUCAUCACAAAGCUCUUGUAGCUUGGUGGGAGCGACUGAAGGAUUCUGUCAAUGACUGCCUCAUCAGGGAGGUUAAUAUUCAGCUGGGUCAUACGGUUGUGCAACCCAGACAUCUUGAGUAUGUGCUCACUGACAGAACUAUUUUCCUCCAUCUUACAACUAUAGAACUUGUCGGAGAUGUCAUAUCUCUCGACCUGGGCGUGAGCUUGAAAAACUAGUUUCAACUCUUCGAACAUCUCAUAUGCUCCGUGAUGCUCAAAACACUUUUGGAGCCCCGGUUCUAAGCUGUAAAGCAUGCCGCACUGAACGAGGGAGUAAUCAUCAGCACGAGACUGCCAAGCAUUCAUAAUGUCUUGGUUCUCUGGGACGGGAGCGUCACCUAGCGGUCCUUCUAGGACAUAUUGUUUCCUGGCAGCUAUGAGGAUGAUCCUCAGGUUCCGGACCCAGUCCGUAUAGUUGCUGCCAUCAUCUUUCAGCUUGGUUUUCUCUAGGAACGCGUUGAAGUUCAUGUUGACAUGAGCGUUGGCCAUUUGAUCUACAAGACAUAUUUGCAAAGGUUUUAGACUAAGUUCAUGAUAAUUAAGUUCUAAUCAAAUUAUGAACUCCCACUCAGAUUAGACAUCCCUUUGGUCAUCUAAGUGUUACACGAUCCGAGUCGACUAGCCCGUGUCCGAUCAUCACAUGAGACGGACUAGUCAUCGUCGGUGAACAUCUUCAUGUUGAUCGUAUCUUCCAUACGACUUGUGUUCGACCUUUCGGUCUCCGUGUUCCGAGGCCAUGUCUGCACAUGCUAGGCUCGUCAAGUUAACCCUAAGUGUUUUCGCUGUGUAAAACUGUCUUACACCCGUUGUAUGUGAACGUAAGAAUCCAUCACACCCGAUCAUCACGUGGUGCUUAGAAGCGACGAACUGUAGCAACGGUGCACAGUUAGGGGAGAACACUUCUUGAAAUUUUGUAAGGGAUCAUCUUAUUUACUACCGUCGUCCUAAGUAAACAAGAUGCAUAAAACAUAAUAAACAUCACAUGCAAUUAUAUAAAGUAGUGACAUGAUAUGGCCAAUAUCAUAUAGCUCCUUUGAUCUCCAUCUUCGGGGCUCCAUGAUCAUCUUGUCACCGGCAUGACACCAUGAUCUCCAUCAUCGUGUCUUCAUGAAGUUGUCACGCCAACGACUACUUCUACUUCUAUGACUAACGCGUUUAGCAAUAAAGUAAAGUAAGUUACAUGGCGUUCUUCAAUGACACGCAGGUCAUACAAAAAUAAAGACAACUCCUAUGGCUCCUGCCGGUUGUCAUACUCAUCGACAUGCAAGUCGUGAAUCCUAUUACAAGAACAUGAUCUCAUACAUCACAAUUCAUCAUUCAUCACAACUUCUGGCCAUAUCACAUCACAUGAUCAAUCGCUGCAAAAACAAGUUAGACGUCCUCUAAUUGUUGUUGCAUCUUUUACGUGGCUGCAAUUGGGUUCUAGCAAGAACGUUUUCUUACCUACGAAUAACCACAACGUAAUUUUGUCAACUUCUAUUUACCCUUCAUAAGGGCCCUUUUCAUCGAAUCCGCUCCAACUAAAGUGGGAGAGACAGACACCCGCCAGCCACCUUAUGCAACUAGUGCAUGUUAAUCGGUGGAACCGGUCUCACGUAAGCGUACGUGUAAGGUUGGUCCGGGCCGCUUCAUCCCACAAUACCGCUGAAGCAAGAAAAGACUAGUAGAGGCAAGCAAGUUGACAAGAUCCACGCCCACAACAAAAUUGUGUUCUACUCGUGCAAAGAGAACUACGCAUAGACCUGGCUCAUGAUGCCACUGUUGGGGAACGUUGCAAAAAAUUAAAAAAUUUCCUACGGUUUCACCAAGAUCCAUCUAUGAGUUCAUCUAAGCAACGAGUCAAGGGAGAGAGUUUGCAUCUACAUACCACUUGUAGAUCACGAGCGGAAGCUUGCCAAGGGGAUGGUGAUGAUGGAGUCGUACUCGAACGUGAUUCGGAUCACCGAUGUCCAAGUGCUGAACGGACAGCACCUCCGCGUUCAACACACGUACGGGACGGGAGACGUCUCCUCCUUCUUGAUCCAGCAAGGGGAAAGGAGAGGUUGAGGAAGGCAGCUCCAACGGCAGCACGACGGCGUGGUGCAGUUGAUGCGGCAGUAUUCCGACAGGGCUUCGCCAAGCACGUACGGAGGAGGAGAGGUGUUGGGGAGGGGAGGGGUUGCGCCUUGGCUUGUGGUGUAUUGCAGCCCUCCCCUCACCCCUCUAUAUAUAGGGAAAGGGCAAGGGGGGCCGGCCCUCUAGGGAAAACCCUAGGGGGGGCGGCGGCCAAAGGGUGGGGGGCUUGCCCCCCAAGCAAGGGGGGUGCACCCCCUUUAGGGUUUCCCCCCCAACCCUAGGCGCAUGGGCCCAAGGGGGGGCGUGCCAAGCUCACUAGGGGCUGGCUGCUAUCCCCACGCAGCCCAAGUGCCCCCCCGGGAGGGGUGGCCCCUCCCGGUGGACCCCCGGAACCCUUCCGGUGGUCCUGGUACAAUACCGGUAUGACCCCGAAACUUUCCGGUGCCCGUUUAACAACUUCCCAUAUAUAAAACUUUACCUCCGGACCAUUCCGGAACUCCUCGUGACGUCCGGGAUCUCAUCCGGGACUCCGAACAACAUUCGGUAGUCACAUACUAGUCUUCCUAACAACCCUAGCGUCACCGAACCUUAAGUGUGUAGACCCUAUGGGCUCGGGAGACAUGCAGACAUGACCGAGACCACUCUCGGGCAAUAACCAACAGCGGGGUCUGGAUACCCAUGUUGGCUCCCACAUUCUCCUCGAUGAUUUCAUCGGUUGAACCACGAUGUCGAGGAUUCGAUCAAACCCUGUAUACAAUUCCCUUUGUCAAUCGGUACGUUACUUGCCCGAGACUCGAUCGUCGGUAUCCCAAUACCUUGUUCAGUCUCGUUACCGGCAAGUCACUUUACUCGUACCGUAAUGCAUGAUCCCUUGGCCAACACCUUGGUCACCUUGAGCUCAUUAUGAUGAUGCAUUACCGAGUGGGCCCAGAGAUACCUCUCCGUCAUACGGAGUGACAAAUCCCAGUCUCGAUCCGCAUAAAACAAUAGCUACUUUCGGAGAUACCUGUAGUGCACCUUUAUAGUCACCCAGUUACGCUGUGGCGUUUGAUACACCCAAAGCACUCCUACGGUAUCCAGGAGUUACACGCUCUCAUGGUCAAAGGAAGAGAUACUUGACAUUGGCAAAGCUCUAGCAAACGAACUACACGAUCUUUGUGCUAUGCUUAGGAUUGGGUCUUGUCCAUCACAUCAUUCUCCUAAUGAUGUGAUCCCAUUAUCAACGACAUCCAAUGUCCAUAGCCAGGAAACCAUGACUAUCUAUUGAUCACAACGAGCUAGUCAACUAGAGGCUCACUAGGGACAUAUUGUGGUCUAUGUAUUCACACGUGUAUUACGAUUUCCGGAUAAUACAGUUAUAGCAUGAAUAAAAGACCAUUAUCAUGAACAAAGAAAUAUAAUAAUAACACUUUUAUUAUUGCCUCUAGUGCAUAUUUCCAACAAUGUGGUCACAGUAAAUUAUAGUGACAGUUUUCUGCUGUCCUUUUUUUAAUAAAUUGGGGUGGGCACGGGCAUGUACAGCAGGACGUUCUUUUUAAGAAGGACGAAACUUAUCAUAAUACACGGUUAAAUAUUUCAGAAUGCUUGGAUUCAACAACUGAUACUUAUCAUGUACACAUGAGGCCGUCAUCUCCGAGUUGUCUGAAUUCAUCAUUGUGUUUUCCACAAUGCAAAUCAGACACUUAUGAUCCAAGUCAUUGGAAUGUGCAUAUUCUGAUCAUACUUGCGCUAUUUUGUUUACAUUUGCUUCUGCGGCUUACAUCUCUGAUUAGGGUCCGACUUGGAAAAAUUCCUGACAGCCGUGCCACAUUAUCGGGAAGGAAAAGUGCUUUGGAAAAGGCCAUGAGAAAUUACGCUGAUAAGAAGUCAGAGUUCGUCGUCAAGCCAUAGAUCGGCCAGGAAUUUGAUUCUUUGGCCGAAUCUUACGACUUCUACAACCUAUACUCGUGGGAGAUUGGUUUUGGCAUCAAGUAUGGGCAAUGCAGAAGAAACGUUGAAAAGUGCAAGACGGUCCAGGACAUAGUUUGCGGAUGCACGGUGAGUUAUAUCAUCCAGCCGGCUAACAUUUGCAAUUGCAUUCAGUAUGAUAUAAAUCCAAUUUUUUGAUUUUUUGGCUGAAAAGUCCGUAUUUAUGUCUCAUUGCUUUUGUUUACCACCAUUUUAUCAGGGGAAACCACGCAGGGAAAAUUCACAUUCAGUAUGCUGCCAAUGUCCUGCGCUUAUGAGGUUGCAUCGCACGUCAGACCAUGGUUGGUUCAUCCAUGAUGUGAAGCAUGAGCAUAAUCACAGUAUGGCACAAACAUGUGGAGAGAAGUUGCACUGGCCAUCUCACAGGCACAUUGAUGCCCAUGCCAAAGACAUUGUCAUGCACCUUAGGAACAACAAUAUAUCAUUAAGCAAGACUUUCGGUGUGAUUGCAAGCUUUUUUGGGGAUAUGGAAAACUUGCCCUUUAACAAGAGAUCUCUGCGUUAUCUCUGCAAGAGGAUGAAUCAGCAGCAGGGCGAUGAUGACAUUAGAAAGACGAUACAACUCUUCUCUGAAUUGAAAGAGAAGGAUCCAAAGUUUGUCGACAGUGUGCUUGUUGAUGAAGGCAGCAAGAUCAGGGCAUUGAUGUGGACAGACGGUAAGAGCCGACACCAGUACAAAUUCUUUGGAGAUGCAAUAACAUUCGACACAACAUAUCGUACGAACCAGUACGACAUGCCGUUUGGUCUUUUUUUUGGUGUCAACAAUCACUUUCAGAGCAUCAUCCUUGGAGGAGUGUUGCUACGCGAUGAAACAACUGAGACUUUUGAGUGGGUGUUCAAGGAAUUUGCAUCUUUGAUGGGAGGGAAGGAUCCAAAAACAAUACUCACGGGUAAUUUAAAAGCACCAACAAAAUGUAACAUUAAUUCCUUUAAUUACUAUUUCUCUUUGCAUCGCCCUCACCAUGAAUGUCAUUUCUUCAUUUAUCACAGACCAAGCCCGUGCAAUGGAGAGGGCUAUAUGUUCCCAGUGGCCUGAUACAACUCACAGAUGGUGCAAAUGGCAUGUAUUGCAAAAAGCAAGGGAACAUCUAGGUUCUGUUUAUUCAAAAAACAGUGAUUUUAGAGACGAGUUUCACAAACUUCUCGAGUAUAUGGUCACAGUAGAUGAACUUGAAACCGCAUGGGCCAGCUUGAUUGAGAAAUAUCAACUUGCAGACCACCCAUGGCUCACUCAAAUAUAUGAAGUUAGAACAAAAUGGGCAAAGCCAUAUUUUGCAGGUGUGUUCUGCGCAAGGAUGACGAGCACACAGCGUUCCGACAGUGCAAACCAUAUGCUCAAGAAUUAUGUGCAGUCGGCAUUGUCCAUGAACAAUUUUGUAAGGCAGUAUCAAAAAUUAUUGUUUGAUAGACAAUCAGAGGAAGAUUUUCAAGCGAAGAAGACUCGUGUGGUAAGCCAUAGACAAAUCAUCAUACAUAGCAUGGUUAUUUGGUUCACGAAACUGCAUGGAUUCAUAUAUGUUAUAGUUAACUCAUUGGCAACUGAUGGUUUCAGGGUGGCGUUGUCUUCAACCUGGGAGUGCCUCUAGAAUACCAUGCAAGCAAGGUCUACACUGCAGCUAUGUAUGAGCUGUUCCAACACGCAAUUUACUUGUCAGGGUCAUUUGUGUUACAAGAGGCCUGGCAGACAGAACAAGGCGUGGUCUACGUUGUUAACCACAUCUAUGCAGAGAGGAGGCAAGCAUGGUCCAGGACACAAUAUCAUGUUCUGUUUCAUCAGGGGUCCGGAGGAUAUUUAUGUGAGUGUGGUCUUUACUCACAUAUGGGUAUGUUGUGCUGUCAUGCUAUUCGGGUAAGUCACAAUACUCAUGCUAUCUUACUCUGACGGAGCUUACUUGCGAUAGUUCCUGAAUCCUAAAACCUCAGUUUUUUACAAUACACUCUCUAUCAGUUACUGAGUUUUUUUGGCCUGCUCCAAGUUUGCAAUAUCCUUUUUUAAGCAAAAGUGGUACACCUAGAUUCAGACAUGUAUCCUCAUAGCAUGUAUGUCACAAUACUCAUGAUUUCUUCAUCUGACGGAGCUUACUUGCGAUAGUUCCUGAAUUCUAAAACCUCAGUUUUUUACAAUACACUCUCUAUCAGUUACUGAGUUUUUUUGGCCUGCUCCAAGUUUGCAACACCCCUUUUUAAGCAAAAGUGGUACACCUAGAUUCAGACACGUAUCCUCAGAUCAUGUAUGUCACCGAGACAUAUUUACAUAAAUUAAUAUAGGAUCCAUAUAUGGAGAUUUAAUCUGACCAAGCGUUUUCUCUGUCGUCAACAGGUGCUGCUACAUCUUGGAGUUAGGGACAUCCCAGAAGUACACAUCAUGAAGAGAUGGACGAAGAACGCCUGCGAGAACCUGCCAGUGCAUCUGAUGAUAUAUAAAGCAUGCAAUUCUGCACUGAAGGACGCAACUUAUCGGCACUCUUCCUUGUACAGUAAGGCGCUCGAGAUUGUCCAAAUGGGGGACAAGAACACUGAAGCUUAUGGAGCUGCAAUGAAGCAGUUGCUGGACGCAAUAAGUGUUCUAAAUGAUAUCAACCAGGAGAGCGAUGGGCGAGGGUUAAAUGAUCAAGCCACUGCUCAAGCACAUGACCAAGAUGUCCCUGUGACACCAGGAGCAAAUGGUCUGUCAGGUUCAAUGAAUGUUGUAUCAUGCAAGAGGGAUCUAGGCAGGCCAACAAACGCAAGAGCAAAGCCAGGUUAUGAAAAUGUCAGCAAGCCAAGAACAAAGUUUUGCUCAAUCUGUAGAGGGAGGGGUCACAAAGCAUCGGGAUGCCCCUCAUAUGGAGGGGUAGCAAAGAAAAAAAGGAAAGUUCCAAAGUGUACAAAGUGCGGCCUGGAAGGCCACAAGAGGAAUAACUGCUCAGGAAGAAUGUUCGGCGUCUUCCAAUGAUUUGAUUGCACUUGCAACUGGUUUACUUUUACUCUUGGCUCGUGCAUUUUUUUUGUGCAAAUAACCUCAUUUGCUGUUAAGGAAGAUGAAAAAUGAUGUUGUGGUGAACAUUUAGGUUUAUUUUGCGGCCGUGUAGUGAUCUUUCAGUUUCAAGACAUUAAAACUUGGCACUGCUUCAGAUGAUGUGAAAGUAAGAAGAUAACAUUUGUACUGAUGCGAGAAAGGACAAGUUCAUCUGAAAUUGAAACGGGGCUUGUCUUUUGUCUAAGAAACUUGUGUUUGCUAUCGUUAAAUUUAUGAUGCUCUGCCAAUAUGUUAUGCUACAUGAUUUCUAACAUGUGACAUACGUACCAUGUUUAAAAAAAAUUACAUUCUUCAGUUUAACGAGGUGAAACAGCAGCGACGAGCACAAUAGUAAAUAUAUUGCACAUCCAGAGCACAAAAGCAGAAGCAGUGCAUCUCUAAGUUAAUCAUACUAAGCAGCAAGCUUGCUAACUAAAAACACAAUCAUCACUAUCAGAACUACACUAAAAAGCAUCCGCUUCUGAUGACCAUUGUUUUUCACAUUCAGCGGGCCUUCAGUUUGCCCCAACUUCUCUUCAAGAGCCUGAUUUUGUUCCUUCAUCUUGCGCAAUGCAUCCCGCAAAGCAUUAUUCUGGGUGCUUCGGUCCUCAAUCCCCAUUUCCAGGUCUGCAUUUACUCCUCUAAGCUGAGUGUUCUCCCUCCGGACGUUGUUCACCGCGUCACGCAGAUCGACCAAAAGUUGGCGAAGAAAGGGCGUAGUAGGGUCAUCAAUCCAUCGCCAAGAAAGUGUGCCAAAUAUAUGAAUGCGAGAAAGAUCCAGCAAGAAUGGAGAAGGAAAUACUGUCAAAUGAAUGCUUACCCGAGAUCUCUGGCAGGUCAGAUACCUACGACCAGGAUUUCCGUUGCUCCAGGAGAUCCAUCUCGCCGCUUUCUUGUGGCACGGGCAAUCUUCAGAUGGCUCGUAUGCUAGCGGCUGCUCACGAUAAGGAAUUGGGGAAGGGUUCAGAGAAUAGCCAGGAGGUUCACCAUGGGAGGACGAGCGUGCUCCAGAUGACGAGGAAGAGGAUUCCAUUUGGGAGACCACAAGCAGCGAAGACGCACGCCACGGAUAAGGUUAGGUUUGGUGAGGAGGAGGAGGGGAUUUUGUGGCUGUGGCAUCUUGUUCGGGAGGGGGUGAGGGGUGCGGAGGAUAUAGGAAUGUUGGCACUAGUUUUUGCCCUUGCGUUGGAUGUGGUACAGCACACAGGUCAUACGUAUGAUGAUUUGCUCUUCUGCAGAUGUUGUGCUAAAAAACUACAACAAUCUGGCCAAAAGAGUAAACAAACUUUACAACAGUGAGGGCGGGUCAUUUUUUUGGGAAUUUUGGGAUAACCUCACUAUGGUUUGAUUCAGAGAAAAGUGCAUUUUGGAAGGCCAGGAUAAUUAUAAAUAUAUAACAUUUUGGGAUAACCUGAAAAUAAUACUUUCGUAACCGGUCACUGGUGCUCAUGCAAUUCGGGAUGAAGGACUUUAGUGUGUGGUCAAGGAAAUGCACUAUGACUAGUGCUCAUGUGAUCCGUUAAUGUUAGAAGGCUCCAAUAUAUAGUUCAUUACUCAUAGAUGAAUAACUCUCAUGUGAAUCGAGUUGAAGAAGUUGAUAUCAAUGCGCGUGUAUCAUAACCUCGGCCCGGUUAUAGUACUUUACAGACACACUACCAGUGCUUGUUUCAUUAAAAAAUAAGGACUUUAGUAUUUGAUAUCGAUGCACAUGUAUGUUAACUUCGCCCUCGACGAUAGUACUUUACACACGCAUGACCAGUGCUCGUUUUAAUCGAAAUGAAGGACUUCAUCAAAUGAUGUCAAUGCACAUGUAUGAUAACUUCGGGCCGGUUAUAGUACUUUACACCCGCGUGACCGGUGCUCAUGUCAUUAUGAGUGAAGGACUUUAGCAGUCCAUGUCGAUGAGUGAAGUACUUUACACGUACACGACCAGUGCUUGUUUCAUUAGAAAGGAAGGACUUUAGUACUUGAUACCGAUGCACACGUAUGUUAACUUCCCACUAUACACUAGUACUUUACACACGCAUGGCCGGUGCUCGUUUCAAUCGAAACGAAGGACUUUAUCAGAUGAUAUCAAUGCUCGUGUGAUAGUACUUUACCCACCGACGACUAGCGCUCGUGUGAUUCGAGGUGAAGAACUUUUCCAUGCGAUCCAAGGAAACACACUCAUACGCAGUGAUCGGGUUGUUCGAGUGAAAGAUUUUAGCAAAUGAUAUCAAUGCACAUGUAUGACAGAUUCGGCCGGCUAUAGUACUUUACACGCCCAUGACCGGUGCUUGUUUUAACCGAAACGAAGGACUUUGGCAAUUGAUGGCAAUGCGCAUGUAUUUUAACUCCGGCCCGGUAUUAGGCUCGAAAAUAGUACUUUAGUAAUCGGUGACUGGUGCUCAUGCAAUUCGGGAUGAAGUACUUUAGAUGACUAGUGCUCGUGUGAUCCAUUAAUGUUACAAGGCUCUAAUAUAUAGUUCUCUACUCAUAGAUGAAUAGCUCUCAUGUGUGAACCUCGGCCCGACCUAUAGUACUUUACACACACAGGACCAGUGCUCGUUUCAUUAAAUAUGAAGGACUUUAGUACUUGAUACCGAUGCACAUGUAUGUUAACUUCGCCCUCGACUAUAGUACUUUAAACACGCAUGACCGGUGCUCGUUUUAAUCGGAACGAAGGACUUUAUCCAAUGAUAUCAAUGCACAUGUAUGUUGAAUUCGGGCCGGUUAUAGUACUUUACACCCGCGUGACCGGUGCUCAUGUCGUUCUGAGUGAAGGACUUUAGCAGUAGAUGUCGGUGUCACCGAAGCAUACUCAUGGUGGUAAUGUGACUAGUACUAAUGAUAUUUUAAUGGUAUGCAUGAUUCAGUCGGUGUUGCGGCAUGUUUUGUUUCCCGACCCAUUAAUGUUACAAGGCCAGAAAAUAAUACUUAAGUAACCGGUCACUCAGCAUGUGAUUCAAGAAAUGCACGAUACUUGUACUAAGCUCUCGGCAAUAGUACUUUAACGAUCGAUGACUAGUGCUCGUGUGAUUCGAAGUGAAGAACUUUAUCAUGCGAUCCAAGGAAACAGACUCAUGCGCGGUGUUCGGGUUGUUCAAAAUGAAAGACUUUAGCAAAUGAUAACAAUGCACACGUGUGUCGGAUUCGGCCGGCUAUAGUACUAUACACGCCCAUGACCGGUGCUUGUUUUAACCAAAACGAAGGACUUUGGCAAUUGAUGGCAAUGCACAUGUAUUUUAACUCCGGCCCGGUAUUAGGCCCGAAAAUAGUACUUUAGUAACCGGUGACUGGUGCUCAUGCAAUUCGGGAUGAAGUACUUUAGUGUGUGAUCAAGGAAAUACUAGAUGACUAGUGCUCGUGUGAUCCGUUAAUGUUACAAGGCUCUAAUAUAUAGUUCUCUACUCAUAGAUGAAUAGCACUCAUGUGUGAAUCGAGAUGAAGAAGUUGAUAUCAAUGCGCGUGUAUCAUAACCUCGACCCGACCUAUAGUACUUUACACACACAGGACCAGUGCUCGUUUCAUUAAAUAUAAAGGACUUUAGUACUUGAUACCGAUGCACAUGUAUGUUAACUUCGCCCUCGACUAUACUACUUUAAACACGCAUGACCGGUGCUCGUUUUAUUCGGAACGAAGGACUUUAUCCAAUGAUAUCAACGCACAUGUAUGUUGACUCCGGGCCGGUUAUAGUACUUUACACCCGCGUGACCGGUGCUCAUGUCGUUCUGAGUGAAGGACUUUAGCAGUAGAUGUCGGUGUCACCGAAGCAUACUCAUGGUGGUAAUGUGGCUAGUACUAAUGAUAUUUUAAUGAUAUGCAUGAUUCAGUCGGUGUUGCGGCAUGUUUUGUUUCCCGCCCCAUUAAUGUUACAAGGCCAGAAAAUAAUACUUAAGUAACCGGUCACUCAGCAUGUGAUUCAAGAAAUGCAUGAUACUUGUACUAAGCUCUCGGCAAUAGUACUUUAACGAUCAAUGACUAGUGCUCGUGUGAUUUGAAGUGAAGAACUUUAUCAUGCGAUCCAAGGAAACACACUCAUGCGCGGUGUUUGGGUUGUUCAAAAUGAAAGACUUUAGCAAAUGAUAACAAUGCACAUGUGUGUCAGAUUCGGCCGGCUAUAGUACUAUACACGCCCAUGACCGGUGCUUGUUUUAACCAAAACGAAGGACUUUGGCAAUUGAUGGCAAUGCACAUGUAUUUUAACUCCGGCCCGGUAUUAGGCCCGAAAAUAGUACUUUAGUAACCGGUGACUGGUGCUCAUGCAAUUCGGGAUGAAGUACUUUAGUGUGUGAUCAAGGAAAUACUAGAUGACUAGUGCUCGUGUGAUCCGUUAAUGUUACAAGGCUCUAAUAUAUAGUUCUCUACUCAUAGAUGAAUAGCUCUCAUGUGUGAAUCGAGAUGAAGAAGUUGAUAUCAAUGCGCGUGUAUCAUAACCUCGGCCCGGCCUAUAGUACUUUACACACACAGGACCAGUGCUCGUUUCAUUAAAUAUGAAGGACUUUAGUACUUGAUACCGAUGCACAUGUAUGUUAACUUCGCCCUCGACUAUACUACUUUAAACACGCAUGACCGGUGCUCGUUUUAUUCGGAACGAAGGACUUUAUCCAAUGAUAUCAAUGCACAUGUAUGUUGACUUCGGGCCGGUUAUAGUACUUUACACCCGCGUGACCGGUGCUCAUGUCGUUCUGAGUGAAGGACUUUAGCAGUAGAUGUCGGUGUCACCGAAGCAUACUCAUGGUGGUAAUGUGUCUAGUACUAAUGAUAUUUUAAUGAUAUGCAUGAUUCAGUCGGUGUUGCGGCAUGUUUUGUUUCCCGCCCCAUUAAUGUUACAAGGCCAGAAAAUAAUACUUAAGUAACCGGUCACUCAGCAUGUGAUUCAAGAAAUGCACGAUACUUGUACUAAGCUCUCGGCAAUAGUACUUUAACGAUCAAUGACUAGUGCUCGUGUGAUUUGAAGUGAAGAACUUUAUCAUGCGAUCCAAGGAAACACACUCAUGCGCGGUGUUCUGGUUGUUCAAAAUGAAAGACUUUAGCAAAUGAUAACAAUGCACAUGUAUGUCAGAUUCGGCCGGCUAUAGUACUUUACACGCCCAUGACCGGUGCAUGUUUUAACCAAACCGAAGGACUUUGGCAAUUGAUGGCAAUGCACAUGUAUUUUAACUCCGGCCCGGUAUUAGGCCCGAAAAUAGUACUUUAGUAACCGGUGACUGGUGCUCAUGCAAUUCGGGAUGAAGUACUUUAGUGUGUGAUCAGGGAAAUGCACGAUGACUAGUGCUCGUGUGAUCCGUUAAUGUUACAAGGCUCCAAUAUAUAGUUCACUACUCAUAGAUGAAUAGCUCUCAUGUGUGAAUCAAGAUGAAGAAGUUGAUAUCAAUGCGCGUGUAUCAUAACCUCGGCCCGGCCUAUAGUACUUUACACACACAGGACCAGUGCUCGUUUCAUUAAAUAUGAAGGACUUUAGUACUUGAUACCGAUGCACAUGUAUGUUUACUUCGCCCUCGACUAUAUUACUUUAAAGACGCAUGACCGGUGCUCGUUUUGAUCGGAACGAAGGACUUUAUCAAAUGAUAUCAAUGCACAUGUAUGUUGACUUCGGGCCGGUUAUAGUACUUUACACCCGCGUGACCGGUGCUCAUGUCGUUCUGAGUGAAGGACUUUAGCAGUAGAUGUCGGUGUCACCGAAGCAUACUCGUGGCGGUAAUGCGGCUAGUACUAAUGAUAUUUUAAUGGUAUGCAUGCUUUAGUCGGUGUUGCGGCAUGUUUUGUUUCCCGCCCCAUUAAUGUUACAAGGCCAGAAAAUAAUACUAAAGUAACCAAUCACUCAGCAUGUGAUUCAAGAAAUGCACGAUACUUUUACUAAGCUCUCGGCAAUAGUACUUUACCCAUCGAUGACUAGUGCUCGUGUGAUUCGAGGUGAAGAAUUUAUCAUGCGAUCCAAGGAAACACACUCAUGCGCGGUGUUCGGGUUGUUCAAAUGAAAGCUUUUAGCAAAUGAUAACAAUGCACAUGUUUGUCAGAUUCGGCCGGCUAUAGUACUUUACACGCCCAUGACCGGUGCAUGUUUUAACCAAACCGAAGGACUUUGGCAAUUGAUGGCAAUGCACAUGUAUUUUAACUCUGGCCCGGUAUUAGGCCCGAAAAUAGUACUAUAGUAACCGGUGACUGGUGCUCAUGCAAUUCGGGAUGAAGUACUUUAGUGUGUGAUCAGGGAAAUGCACGAUGACUAGUGCUCGUGUGAUCCGUUAAUGUUACAAGGCUCCAAUAUAUAGUUCACUACUCAUAGAUGAAUAGCUCUCAUAUGUGAAUCGAGAUGAAGAAGUUGAUAUCAAUGCGCGUGUAUCAUAACCUUGGCCCGGGCUAUAGUACUUUACACACACAGGACCAGUGCUCGUUUCAUUAAAUAUGAAGGACUUUAGUACUUGAUACCGAUGCACAUGUAUGUUAACUUCGCCCUCGACUAUAUUACUUUAAACACGCAUGACCGGUGCUCGUUUUGAUCGGAACGAAGGACUUUAUCCAAUGAUAUCAAUGCACAUGUAUGUUGACUUCGGGCCGGUUAUAGUACUUUACACCCGCGUGACCGGUGCUCAUGUCGUUCUGAGUGAAGGACUUUAGCAGUAGAUGUCGGUGUCACCGAAGCAUACUCGUGGCGGUAAUGUGGCUAGUACUAAUGAUAUUUUAAUGAUAUGCAUGCUUCAGUCGGUGUUGCGGCAUGUUUUGUUUCCCGCCCCAUUAAUGUUACAAGGCCAGAAAAUAAUACUAAAGUAACCAAUCACUCAGCAUGUGAUUCAAGAAAUGCACGAUACUUUUACUAAGCUCUCGGCAAUAGUACUUUACCCAUCGAUGACUAGUGCUCGUGUGAUUCGAGGUGAAGAACUUUAUCAUGCGAUCCAAGGAAACACACUCAUGCGCGGUGUUCGGGUUGUUCAAAUGAAAGCUUUUAGCAAAUGAUAACAAUGCACAUGUAUGUCAGAUUCGGCCGGCUAUAGUACUUUACACGCCCAUGACCGGUGCAUGUUUUAACCAAACCGGAGGACUUUGGCAAUUGAUGGCAAUGCACAUGUAUUUUAACUCCGGCCCGGUAUUAGGCCUGAAAAUAGUACUAUAGUAACCGGUGACUGGUGCUCAUGCAAUUCGGGAUGAAGUACUUUAGUGUGUGAUCAGGGAAAUGCACGAUGACUAGUGCUCGUGUGAUCCGUUAAUGUUACAAGGCUCCAAUAUAUACUUCACUACUCAUAGAUGAAUAGCUCUCAUAUGUGAAUCGAGAUGAAGAAGUUGAUAUCAAUGCGCGUGUAUCAUAACCUCGGCCCGGGCUAUAGUACUUUACACACACAGGACCAGUGCUCGUUUCAUUAAAUAUGAAGGACUUUAGUACUUGAUACCGAUGCACAUGUAUGUUAACUUCGCCCUCGACUAUAUUACUUUAAACACGCAUGACCGGUGCUCGUUUUGAUCGGAACGAAGGACUUUAUCCAAUGAUAUCAAUGCACAUGUAUGUUGACUUCGGGCCGGUUAUAGUACUUUACACCCGCGUGACCGGUGCUCAUGUCGUUCUGAGUGAAGGACUUUAGCAGUAGAUGUCGGUGUCACCGAAGCAUACUCGUGGCGGUAAUGUGGCUAGUACUAAUGAUAUUUUAAUGAUAUGCAUGCUUCAGUCGGUGUUGCGGCAUGUUUUGUUUCCCGCCCCAUUAAUGUUACAAGGCCAGAAAAUAAUACUAAAGUAACCAAUCACUCAGCAUGUGAUUCAAGAAAUGCACGAUACUUUUACUAAGCUCUCGGCAAUAGUACUUUACCCAUCGAUGACUAGUGCUCGUGUGAUUCGAGGUGAAGAACUUUAUCAUGCGAUCCAAGGAAACACACUCAUGCGCGGUGUUCGGGUUGUUCAAAUGAAAGCUUUUAGCAAAUGAUAACAAUGCACAUGUAUGUCAGAUUCGGCCGGCUAUAGUACUUUACACGCCCAUGACCGGUGCAUGUUUUAACCAAACCGAAGGACUUUGGCAAUUGAUGGCAAUGCACAUGUAUUUUAACUCUGGCCCGGUAUUAGGCCUGAAAAUAGUACUAUAGUAACCGGUGACUGGUGCUCAUGCAAUUCGGGAUGAAGUACUUUAGUGUGUGAUCAGGGAAAUGCACGAUGACUAGUGCUCGUGUGAUCCGUUAAUGUUACAAGGCUCCAAUAUAUACUUCACUACUCAUAGAUGAAUAGCUCUCAUAUGUGAAUCGACAUGAAGAAGUUGAUAUCAAUGCGCGUGUAUCAUAACCUCGGCCCGGGCUAUAGUACUUUACACACACAGGACCAGUGCUCGUUUCAUUAAAUAUUAAGGACUUUAGUACUUGAUACCGAUGCACAUGUAUGUUAACUUCGCCCUCGACUAUAUUACUUUAAACACGCAUGACCGGUGCUCGUUUUGAUCGGAACGAAGGACUUUAUCCAAUGAUAUCAAUGCACAUGCAUGUUGACUUCGGGCCGGUUAUAGUACUUUACACCCGCAUGACCGGUGCUCAUGUCGUUCUGAGUGAAGGACUUUAGCAGUAGAUGUCGGUGUCACCGAAGCAUACUCGUGGCGGUAAUGUGGCUAGUACUAAUGAUAUUUUAAUGAUAUGCAUGCUUCAGUCGGUGUUGCGGCAUGUUUUGUUUCCCGCCCCAUUAAUGUUACAAGGCCAGAAAAUAAUACUAAAGUAACCAAUCACUCAGCAUGUGAUUCAAGAAAUGCACGAUACUUUUACUAAGCUCUCGGCAAUAGUACUUUACCCAUCGAUGACUAGUGCUCAUGUGAUUCGAGGUGAAGAACUUUAUCAUGCGAUCCAAGGAAACACACUCAUGCGCGGUGUUCGGGUUGUUCAAAUGAAAGCUUUUAGCAAAUGAUAACAAUGCACAUGUAUGUCAGAUUCGGCCGGCUAUAGUACUUUACACGCCCAUGACCGGUGCAUGUUUUAACCAAACCGAAGAACUUUGGCAAUUGAUGGCAAUGCACAUGUAUUUUAACUCCGGCCCGGUAUUAGGCCCGAAAAUAGUACUAUAGUAACCGGUGACUGGUGCUCAUGCAAUUCGGGAUGAAGUACUUUAGUGUGUGAUCAGGGAAAUGCACGAUGACUAGUGCUCGUGUGAUCCGUUAAUGUUACAAGGCUCCAAUAUAUACUUCACUACUCAUAGAUGAAUAGCUCUCAUAUGUGAAUCGAGAUGAAGAAGUUGAUAUCAAUGCGCGUGUAUCAUAACCUCGGCCCGGGCUAUAGUACUUUACACACACAGAACCAGUGCUCGUUUCAUUAAAUAUGAAGGACUUUAGUACUUGAUACCGAUGCACAUGUAUGUUAACUUCGCCCUCGACUAUAUUACUUUAAACACGCAUGACCGGUGCUCGUUUUGAUCGGAACGAAGGACUUUAUCCAAUGAUAUCAAUGCACAUGUAUGUUGACUUCGGGCCGGUUAUAGUACUUUACACCCGCGUGACCGGUGCUCAUGUCGUUCUGAGUGAAGGACUUUAGCAGUAGAUGUCGGUGUCACCGAAGCAUACUCGUGGCGGUAAUGUGGCUAGUACUAAUGAUAUUUUAAUGAUAUGCAUGCUUCAGUCGGUGUUGCGGCAUGUUUUGUUUCCCGCCCCAUUAAUGUUACAAGGCCAGAAAAUAAUACUAAAGUAACCAAUCACUCAGCAUGUGAUUCAAGAAAUGCACGAUACUUUUACUAAGCUCUCGGCAAUAGUACUUUACCCAUCGAUGACUAGUGCUCGUGUGAUUCGAGGUGAAGAACUUUAUCAUGCGAUCCAAGGAAACACACUCAUGCGCGGUGUUCGGGUUGUUCAAAUGAAAGCUUUUAGCAAAUGAUAACAAUGCACAUGUAUGUCAGAUUCGGCCGGCUAUAGUACUUUACACGCCCAUGACCGGUGCAUGUUUUAACCAAACCGAAGGACUUUGGCAAUUGAUGGCAAUGCACAUGUAUUUUAACUCCGGCCCGGUAUUAGGCCCGAAAAUAGUACUUUAGUAACCGGUGACUGGUGCUCAUGCAAUUCGGGAUGAAGUACUUUAGUGUGUGAUCAGGAAAAUGCACGAUGACUAGUGCUCGUGUGAUCCGUUAAUGUUACAAGGCUCCAAUAUAUAGUUCACUACUCAUAGAUGAAUAGCUCUCAUAUGUGAAUCGAGAUGAAGAAGUUGAUAUCAAUGUGCGUGUAUCAUAACCUCGGCCCAGGCUAUAGUACUUUACACGCCGGCCCGGUUUUAGUAAUCAAGAUGGCAAUGCACAUAUAUUUUAACCCCGGCCCGGUUAUAGUAAUCAAGAUGAAAGACUCUAGCAAAUGAUAUCAAUGCACAUGUAUCUCAACUUCGGCCGGCUAUAGUACUUUACACGCCCACGACCGGUGCUUGUUUUGACCAAAAGGAAGGAAGUUCGUCAAAACAUGAUCUUCUGUUCGACACAACUAUUACUCAUGUAGUUCGAGAAGGAUGACUUUAGAUAGCAGGAAGCCAUUACGAUCCACAUUCAUGAAAUAUAAAACAACCUAAAUUAUAUAUGAGGCGAAGUGAAAAACCGAUACAUAGAUUAUGGUUCCUCAAUUGUUCAUCUGUUACAAGCAGGGGGGAAUGCAAAAUCAUAGUCUCAUGGACACAACGAGUUCAUUACAAAUGCAAUACAAUAGUAUCAUGGACACAAGGAUCCCAUUACAUACACAACAUAAUGGUUGGACCAUGAUAGUUGUUGAACAAACAGUGGCGGAGUCUUCAGUCACGGAAAGUCGGUGGCCAACGCUCCGUCAAGGGGAAUGCUUGCCUCAUGUCUCCAUCCUCGGGCAACCAGUGAACCUCAUUAACAGUGUCGUUAACAGUGUCCACGACAAACAUGCCAUGGUCGAAUGCGAAGGUUAGCAGAACAACUGAUGAGUUCUUGCUGGCUGAUCUGAUCUGAACGGAGUAGAAAUCACCAGGGCCAACCUCCCCGUACUCCAUGCCAAAUGCAGACUGCCAUAUGGUAGGUCCACCCCUGCUAGAAAAUGCCUUUACUAAAUCUAAUCUUGAGCAACAGCUCCACUGCAAGCGGCCGUGUACUAGUUGAAGCAGCCACGUAUUGAGCAAGCCAUGUGAACAGUUAACAAGAGACAAGAUGCCAGACUCGUUUAGGGAAACACUGUAGUCAAAACAGGAUCUGGCUGAUAUUGGUAGAUGGACAACAGUGAACGUAGAGCUAGGAAUGUCGAAACAGAUGAUCAUGCCCACGACAUACAUCAUGUAUAAUGAGCUCCCGGCUAAAACGGAGUAAGGAUCUAAGUGAAAGAUGCAAGGAGAACGAUAUUCAAAAGGAGCCGACACAAAUCUUGACCAAACACCACCUCUGAAAACACAUACAUAUACGUGGAAAUCAGAUUUAGACCUGAAUUUAAUACCAUCGUAUGUUUUCAGAAAAGGGCCGGCUGCGUCCUUGACAAAGAAAGAGAACCCGAUCUGGCCGGCUGCUGGCAGAAUGCCAAAUUGGCCGUAAAAGUUUGGGCUGUGCUGGCCAUGCAUGCGAGGGACUCGAGGGAUACGAGACGCAACCAAGUAGUAUACUGGUGGAAACGAGCUAGGGAACAAGGUGUAGUAGCCAUCGACGACAGUCUCGCCCGUUUCAGAGGAAACGAAGGGAGGGUUGAUAAUACUUACUAGCAGCUCACCAGAUUCAGAUGCUAGUAUGCGUUUCUGUGAUAGGGAAUAAUCAUCUAUACGGGAACGAAGCAGAGCUCUAGUCGACUCACCUUGAAAAGCUAAUGCAUCCACAACACGAAAAUGGAGACUAUAACCACGCUCGAACUCUGCCAAGAAUCCGAGCACUGCCGGGCGAUUGCGACGAGAAUAUGCCUGAAGGAAAGACUGAGAUCUAGAUACAGACAUCCAUUGGGGAUUAACAGCUGAGCUGCGAAUAAGUGAACGAGUGCAUGAUAGCCUAGUAAGGAUUUCUACCAGAAGGUUGUCAUUGUCAAGAACCGAUGUGGGAAUGAUGCUGGACAUGAACAAGCGAGGGUGGGAGUUGGUAGCUGGAUGGAGAGGAAACAGGAGGGAACAGAAGGUGAAUGGAGAGGAAACAGGAGUGAACAGGAGUUGGUAGCGUAGCUGUGUGAGCAGGGAAUAGUGGCACUAUCUCUAGAACCAGAUUAAUCAAGGAGUGGGAUUACAUCUUUACACAAACAUGUGGAGCAAUGAAGUGCAAAAUAAUCCUUCCCAAUGGGGUACAAAAAGCCCUAGCAAGAUAAUAUCACUGAGUUGAUAAUUAUUAUUACAAAAAUAAUACGGGCCUAAUUAGUCUGAAACCAGCAGAUUUGCAAGGGGGGCGUUGGGGCUGGUGACAAAAACGAAGUAUCACCCAUAGCAUUGCG
rnacentral:lncRNA from 1 species